AUUGAUGAGGUUUGGAAUGACAAGGCUCCACUCUUGCCCUCCGACUCUUACCUCAGAGCUCAGGCCAGGUUCUGGGCUGACUUCGUCGACAAGAAGGUGAUUUUUACUCAUUAAUACUUAUUUUUGUUUUGAAUAUGUUUGGUUUGAAUUGAAACAAUUGAACAAUGCUGUAUUAGAAUUUUAAAAUUAUAAGUGUUUAGGGUGUAAUGAUUUUACCACUUAGGAUUUGUAUUAGAAGGGAAAUUAAAUGGAACUGGAUCUCUGUUUAUGUUUUCGGGUUAAGAUUUCAUGUUACGGUUUCGGGUUUAAGGUUUAAGCUUUAAGGUUUAAGGUUUAAGGUUUGUGAUGUAUAUUUAGAAAGAUAUAAGCGGAAGAUCUGAACUUGCCCAAAACAAUGUAUAUUAAUUUCCCCGAAAUUUGGGAUGUGAAAUGCAGAUAUAUGAUAUUGGGAGGAAGUUGUGGACAACCAAAGGAGAAGAAUAUGAUGCAGCAAAAAAAGACUUUCUCGACUGCAUCGGCGUGUUAGAAGGAGAGCUCGGAGACAAGCCCUUCUUUGGCGGGGAUACCCUCGGAUUUGUGGACGUCGCGCUAAUUCCGUUCUAUAGCUGGUUUCUUGUGUAUGAAAAAUUUGGCAACUUCAGUGUUGAGGCAGUGCACCCAAAGUUUAUUGUCUGGGUUAAGAGGUGCAUGGAGAAGGAGAGCGUGUCCAAGUCGCUUCCCGACCAGGAAAAGGUCUACGAUUUUGUCGCACUUAUGAGGAAAAAGUUUGGAAUUGAGUAGAUUUUGCUACCUCUUUUGGGUUGUUGAAUUAGAAUAAAAGGGCACUUGACCAAGCCUUGUACUGUAUGAGGCACUUUAUUGUGCCUCUGGUCGUUUAUUUUGCUUUUGUCAAGUUACCACACUUGUCAACUUGUUAUGUAAGGGAUCUAAAUCUACUUGAUCAAAUUUCUUAUUUUGUUACUACAUAUCGAAUGAUGGAUUAUUGGCUGUCACCAGUUGCAUUUAAUCGUGAGUCUAUCUCUCUUAUCAGGUAACAAAGACUUAUAAAGACUUAUGAUUGUAUGCAACAGUGAAUUUUCUCUUUAUCCAACUUCGAGUCAACAUUUUUCAAUCAUAUGAGAUCAUGUGCAGCAGACCCAGCAAAAGAUCUCACCUGAACAUCUCGACAGAAAAACAAACUGAAAAGAAAAUGAACUAGAAGAACGCAUCCUAACAUUCAUCAUCGAACUUUUAACACGGUGAUUAGGACACAUCUCAAAUACAUAAAAUCUCGUCCGACUCCUCCAUUGUUGACUUGACGCAUAAACUUCUUGCAGAUCAAUUUGCUUCUUGCCAAAUAUCUAACACCUGCGUUUCAGUCUCACUUAUAUUGGCCAAUUCUUGUUUCAUAAUCUAUAUUAAGUCAGCCAGUAAUAUUUUCUACAUAAACAUUUUUAUUCCUGUAAUUUGAUUCAUAUUUCAUUUUUGUUGAUACAGUGCACACCUUGUCAACAACUGAUUUGGUCAUACCUAUAUGAACCUACUUCAUGGGAUCCCUGCACUAAACCAACUUUGCCUUUUGAAAAUUCAUAGUGCUCUUCAUUAAUCAGAAAGGAGGCGAAAAUACAGCGACACCCUAAUGAGACCCCCUUCCGAUGUUGAACCAUCACUCGGACUAGAACACCACAAAUACACUUCAAUGAUUUUAAAAACAACCAAAACCUCAUUUUCAAAGAACUCCAUUUACCAACAAGUGACUUACAUUUCAAUUUGAUUUAAACCAAAAUUCUUAGGAUUUUGAACGACCAGUGCAACAAUAACAAUCUGACAACCCCACAACGACACUCCAAUGAUACUCUCCAUUUUAUGAUUUGAACUGGCACAACCACAACAACAAUCUGAUGACGUCACAAUGACACUUCAACGAUAUAUACUCUCAUUUUUAUGAUUUUGAACCAACACAGCCACAAUAACAAUUUGAAGAUGCCAAAACGACACCCCCAUUUUUUUGAUUUCGAACCACCUCAGCCACAACACUUCAUUCAAGGAACCCUCUCCUUCUUCAUUCCCUAACCACCACAACCAAAUUUCAAAUACCAAAAAAAAAAAAAAAUCAAAUAAUUGAGCCAAAGCAAGAUGAAACAGAGAGGGGAAGAAGAAGAAUGGAUACGGGAGGUGGAGCAAUAAGAAGCUUACCUCCUUUCAUGGUGUUCCAAAUGUUAUUUACCGCUCCAAAUUCGAUUAGUCAAGACGGCGCAAUCGAAAAAUGGAUUUGAGAGUGUUGUUGGGUGUUGGAAGAUUUUUUAUCAAUGAAGAACAUGAUGUCCAAUAAAAAGAUCAAUGAAGGGUAGUGUGGACUUUUCACAUGAAAAUUUGAUCAAAAGAACAAUUUUUAAUAAGUGUGAUAAAAAAUACAACAAAUGUCAAAACAUGUCUAUUUUGACUAAUUGCCGUAUAAUCUUCUAAGGUCAUAAUUGGAUCUAGCCUUCAACAAAACCACUAAACUAAAAGCUAGUGACAAUAACCCAUAAGUAAAUAUUACUAUAAAAGCGACCAAGAGUGAUAAUAAAACUUGGCAAAAUAAAUUUAUAUUGAUAGUGGAGGUCAGAUCUGCUCCAUAUCGAACUUGGCUUUCUCGUGCUAUUAAUUGUAGACACUUUUGAUAUUGCUGUGGUGUGAUUGUUGUCACUGACCUUUAAUGAGUCAAGGACCUAUGAGUUGAUUGGUGAAUAAGAUCUAAAAAUGUGUUUUCACUAAUGUAAUAUAAAUAGGUGGUUAUUCUAGCAUUACUCUUCAUAUACAAUUGCAUGAUUCAAAUCUUUUUUGUAACCUUCUUCAUGGCCUGGAAUUAUACAACUGUUUUUUUUCCCUAAUAGUUCUUAUUACACCUUUACUUGAUUUGCAUCACUUCCUUUAUGUUAAUAAAAUUAGACGAUUGCACAUGCUUCCUUACGGACCCAAAGACAACAUUUUUUUUUAACUAUUCUAGUUCCGUGUGGUUGAAUGGGAUUACAAGGUUUAGGGUUUUAGGGAUGUAGCACACCCCAACUUCAUAGCACAAUCGACGUAAAAAUAUUCUGAAAAUUCAUCCACGCCAAAACAAACCUGGAGUAUAAUGUCCUGAUUCCAACUUCCGAUCGUAUUUUUCGUCUCCAUCCAUCUGCAAAAAGUAAAAUCUCGUUGUAAAAAUUAAUGUAAAGUACAGUAAUCUACAUUGAUCGAACUAGGAACCAAAUAAGACAAUAACAACCUCUAAAUCUUCAACUUCGAGCCGGUCCAUCCACUCUGUUUCUCCUUUAACUCUAUCCGAACACUAGAAGAAACUAUAAAAUGAUAGCAUUACAUCUUAAGUACAUUUAUAAUACACAGAUUUGAUGUGUGUCUGAGGAAAUCUUUUAGGAUUGCAAAUUUGCUAAAAUAUAUUGGAAAAUAAUCAAAAGAAAAUCUAACCACUGAAAGUUUAACUGCAAUUACCUGAAAAAAGUUUUGAAACAUUACCUUCACCUGCCACAUAAUUUGCAUUGACUUUUCUGCUACCACCAACAAAAGUGAUAAUAACUAAAGACUCCCGUAACUGCAAUUAAAAACCAAUGUGAGUGUUGAGAAAAAGAACAACAGGUUCAGUAUCAUGAUAUGUCUAACAACCAGAAAGCCCUUGAAGCUAAAGCCUAAAGAAGUAUUAUAUCGUAGCGACCACUGGUGUCUUUGAGACUUCAGAUUUGAAAGCCUGCCUGUGAAAUCACAGGUAGUGAUUCUUCCAGUAUUUCCUGAGCAUUGUCUCCACAUCCAACAGUCAAAGCCAAUAUUCCUAAAGGAACUUUGACUCUAAAAACUACUUAGCCUAGGUGGCGCACAAGCUGAAUAACUAAUAAACUAACUAUGUUCUUCGGUUGAAUGCGGAGCGUGCCAACUCGUCGGCCAAGCUCGGCUGGGGAGUGAAUAAAUGUUGAUGUGACGUUGGGCACUGAUGACUUCUGAAUCUUGCGACUGCGGCCGAGAAAGGAACAUGUCUCGGCCCUUUGGGUUCUAGAGCCUGAAGACAAGGCUGUUAAUUCAGUAGAUCGACGAUCGCAGGGUUGGAUCCACCGCAAAAUCACCUUCUUCCUCAAAAAUUGUAUCCAACAUUUUCGUCAACGGGCGUUUGCUUAUUGAAAUGAACUGUGAUACUGCAACUUCUGUACGAGUACUCUUGGAGUUUGGCACUUUACCAUUCCUUCCAUUGCAAUGGAGGUAUGGAAUUAUGACAAUGCAGUUCUGGAAAGGGAAAAUUGGGAAGGUAGAGGAAGAUGGAGAGGUUGAGAGAGAAUAUGCUGCAAUGAACAAUUUUCUGGGGUUUUGUAGGGGUUUUAGAGAUUGAAAUUUGGCUGUUACUUUUGUCUUGAUGGCUACAUCUAAGGACAUUCGGUACUUUCCCAAUCCACCCUUAAUAUUUUAACAAAUGAGUCCACGUUCUAAUUAAAUUAGUUUAGUCUAUGAAGAAAGAGAUUCGAACUUUGAUGCAAGAGAAUUAACGAGCUGGUCUAACUCACAGAUGCACUAUAAGGAUUGUCGAUAACAAUAUCAUUUUUAUUUUUUAGCUUUCAUUUAUACGUUAAGUGUAAAGGGAAACUAUUAGAUAAAGGAGAGAUGGUGGUGAGACGAGGAGGGGAAAUGAAGAACAACGCAUGAAACCAACUUUGCCUUUCGAAAAUUCAUAGUGCUCUUCAUUAAUCGGAAAGGAGGCAAAAAUACAACUUUACCCUGUUGAAGAACAAUUCAGAAAUAAACAAAAAUAACAUAAACUCUAAUAUUUUAUUAACCAAAAUAUACUUGCUAUGCAAAACGAAAAUUAUACAAUAAUACAAAAAUUAAUAUUACUAACUUGAUUACAGAAGAUAGAGGCUAGCGUAAAAGCUAUGUCAUUCGAACAGUAUUUACGUCCCACUCCUGUGCUUGUGGUUCUACAACGUCUGCUCGACCAGGAUUCAACUACCUAAUUCUAUAAUCCGCACUGGAUUCUAGAACUCUAGCGAAUUUUCUUUUUGUGGGUUUACUCUUUGAAAAUUUCAUACAGAAGAAAGAAGGAAGAAAAAGAUAAUUCAUUUGGAUACUGUGAUUGCAGAUAUAUAGGUUGUUUCACACUCUUUCAAAUACCAGUUCAGUGUAUGUGAAGGUACACAACUCUUUCUAAGAGCUGUGUCUUUUAAUCAAAACGUUUUUAAUUAAUAAAUUAAUUAAAAACUUAAUCCGAAAAUUAAAAAUAAUGAAUCAGCCUAAUCCACACAAUCAUAAGGCCCAAGCCUUCAAUCCAUUUCCAAAUGGCCCAUGUUGUAAUUACUAGAUUAAAGCACUAAAUCUAUAUAAAGGCUCUUGAGAAUCUUGUUUUCCCCAAUGUUGGACAAGAGUCUCAAAACUUCCAACAUGCCCUUCGAUAUAUAGUUGACUUCAUUUUUAUUUUUAUCAUUUUUACUUCUUUAUAUACAAUUUUGGAUAAUGCAUGCCUAGGUUUCUGAUUUUUUUUUUAAUAUUACCUAGGGGUUUACAUAUUAUAUGCUCGUGUGAAGAUACUUUCAAGGAUAUAAACUGUGUAUAUUGCAAAGAUGACAAACAUAAAUCAAGAAAUAGUACAAUAUUGCAAAAAACUUUGUAAUUAGGAUAUAGUGAGUUUUACAAUUUGUUGAUGGAAAUAUUUGGUUUACAAUAUUACAACUGUAAAAACCAAAAUUAUAUAAACAAACAGUUAUUCUGAUGAAAUUAUCUAUUAAAAAAAGGCUGAUCACAUUAUUCUGAUUAAAUUAUCUAUGUAAAAAAAAUAAUCUUAAUUUGGUACAUAGUUUCAAGACAAAGUGGUUUGAGUGUGAAUUUGUUGUGACACUGAUGUAACAGCGAAUAACAAAUAUACCUAUUUGCAUGCAAGAUAUAACGGCAAAUAAGAGUAUGAAAGAUAUAUUCUAUGUUUCUUGAAUCAAUCUCAUCACCCAUAAAGGUAAACUAUAGAUCUAACUUAUCACACAUAUUGAAAUUUGUUGAAUGACAUUUUUAAUUUCCCGUUUUCUAGUUGUUUUCUUUAAUUUUUUAGGGGUCACUUAGUAGCCAUUUUGAACAAUUUUUAGUUUUCAAUUUUUCAAUUUUCAAAAACUGAAAUUUGUUUAGUAAGUACUUUCCGUUUUUAGUGAAAACUGAAAACCAAAAGGUAAAAACUCAAGAAAAUAAUUUUCAAUUUCAAAUUUUCGCAAACUUAAUACUGAUAAUAGAACCUGAAAAUGCAAUGACUAUCAAAAUGACAGUUAGUUAAACCAAUGAGCGAUUGUGGACAAAAUUGGGCUAGACUGGAACUAGGCUUUACAUAUUUUAAAUACGAGAAACUAUGGGUCCAACUCACUGUGUGUAUCAAAAAUGGUUGAAGGCCUUUUCAGUAUCUAACUCAUAGACAAUGACUAAAAUAUCGAUACUAUCGGCGAAAUAUCGCCGAUAUUAUCGUUUUUCAGAAAGACCGAUAUUUUCCCACGUAUUCCCCUAAUUGUCAAAAUAUCGCGAUAUUAUCGAUAAUAUCGCGAUAUAUGCGAUAUUAUCGAAACAAUCAUCGUGGCUACGUCAUCGAAAAGGCAGCCGAGGCUGCGUCGUUGCAGCUGCCCAGAUCUCUCUCUACAAUCUAGGUUCAAACCCAAGAUCUGCGCCUCCGUCGCUGGAAAUGAAAAAUCCAUUUUCUUCGGAUCCCAAAACCCGCUCGGGUUUGAAUCAAACUGUUUGAUGGAUCCCUUUGCCUAAUGGUAGUCGCCGGGAGGUGAGAAAGGGAGGAGGAACGGUCCACAAGUGGUGAUGGUGCUCGCCGGAGUGUGCGCCACUGUGGUGGAGGUCACGGUGUGGUGUGGGUGUGGUGUGUUUGUGCUUCGGGUGUGGUGUGGGUGUGGUGUGGCUUUGCUAGAGGUUUCUGGAAAAGAGAGAGAGAGAGAGAGAGAGAGAGAGAGAGGGGAGAAAGAUUUCUGGGAUUUUGUGGGCUGAUAGGAAAUAAGAGAGAGAGAGAGACUUAUGGGAUACGAAAAAGAAGAAAAUAAAGUAGAGGAAGAAGAAGUGAGAGAGGAGGAACAGGAUAGGAAAAACAAAAUGUCAGAUAUAGGAUUGGGAGUCUCAAUUUGGGACCUUGGGUUAUGUGAGGGAGGUGAGGUGGAGGGGUCACCAUGUGGUUUAAAGAAAAUGUUAAACACUAAUUUCAUUCAAAAUAUCUUAUAUUUAUUUUUUUAUUUUUUUAAAUUAAAUUGUUUUAUUUGGGAAAUCCAUCUUUGAGACCUUGAAAGUCUCUUUGAAGAUCAGAUCAUGCUAUAUACUUGAAACUCUAACGUCACAUAUACUAUUUUUUUGUAAAAGAAAUAACAUAUUUUUCAUAUCUUUCUUAUAUUGUACUAAUUCAUUAUAUAUAAAUGAUUAUGGUGUGUUUAAACUUCUUUCAUUCAUUACUAUAUAUUUUCUACACUCACAAUGUUUGCCAGCUCGCUAUAUAAUCAACUUAAAUCAGUUAAAUCCAUCAUGCAAUGCAUUUCCUUCCAAUUUUUUGUGAAUAGAUAAUUGACUAAAUAAACAUCCUGCAAAGUUUCAAUAAAAAUUUUCAAGUUUUUCUUACAAUUUCCGUGGUUUUUAUUCAAUUUUUAUCGAUAUCGAUAAUAUCCCGAUAUUUUCAUCGAAAUUUCCGUGUUUUUGGACUACCGAUAUUUCCGAUAUCAUCGAUAUUUUAUACCUUGCUCAUAGAUUAUUUUUCUAGGAAAAAUUUGAAAUAAGUCCAAUUUUAUAAGCCUAAUUUUAAAAUAGGUUCAAUUUUUAGUGAUAUUUUAUUUUUGAAAUAUAUCCAAUUUUUAGUUACUUUGGAUCCAUAUCAAAAUACCUUUAUUUUCUAUUAUAUUUUUUUACAAGGGAUAUUGAAGGACAUGAACUGGCUUCAACUAUAAAUCCCUUCUUGUUACAAAGUUGAAUUCUUGACCAGUUAAAAGAAGGAAGAAAAGUUGAAGGAUUUUGUACAUGUCACUUUACAGCAGUAGCGGAAGUCAUUAAUCUUACGUUUCACAAGUUCAGUCUGAUCACACCAACUUUUUAUUUUAAAAUUUAACAAUUUAAUUUACUGAACACUGCAUUUAGUCAAAAGUUAAAACCCCAAAAAAAAUUAUAAGAAUAUCAGGAUUUUAAUGUCGUAAGCAGUGACAUAAUCAGAUCCAAAUCGAACGGUCUCGAAUGUGUCCAAAAAAGAAGAAAAAUAGAAUAUCUCCAUUCCUGUAGUCCAUUGACUACUGCCCAUUUAGUUUUUCACUUCAACUUUUGUAUAUAACAGACACAACCCCCCACCACUACCUCCACCGCCAGUCUACAGCUUCAUAUCUAAGCUAACCUUCUGCGACCCUUUUGAAAAUUUGUAUCAAACAGUUCAGAUUUCAACCUUCAAUGGCGGAUGAGGUGGUUUUGUUGGAUUUCUGGCCCAGCCCGUUUGGGAUGAGGCUGAGGAUCGCUCUGGCUGAGAAGGGCAUCGAGUAUGAGUACAAAGAAGAUGACUUGUGGAACAAGAGCCCAUUGUUGCUGCAGAUGAACCCGGUUCACAAGAAGAUCCCGGUUCUCAUUCACAAUGGAAAACCGGUCUGUGAGUCCCUCAUUGCACUUCAGUACAUUGAUGAGGUUUGGAAUGAUAAGGCUCCACUCUUGCCCUCUGACUCUUACCUCAGAGCCCAGGCCAGGUUCUGGGCUGACUUCGUCGACAAGAAGGUGAUUUUUACUCAUUAAUUUACUUAUUUGUAGGAUUAUUUUUGUUUUGAAUAUGUUUGGUUUGAAACAAUUGAACAAUGUUGUUUUAGAAUUUUAAGAUUAUAAGUGUUUAGGGUGUAUAAUGAUUUUACCACUUAGGAUUUGUAUUAGAAGGGAAAUUAAAUGGAACUGGAUCUCUGUUUAUGUUUUCGGGUUAAGAUUUCAUGUAAUGGUUUCGGGUUUAGGGUUUGAGGUUUAAGGUGUGUGAUGUAUAUUUAGAAAGAUAUAAGCAGAAGAUCUGAACUUGCAGAUACAUGAGAAUGGGAGGAAGUUGUGGACAACCAAAGGAGAAGAAUAUGAUGCAGCAAAGAAAGACUUUCUCGACUGCAUCGGCGUGUUAGAAGGAGAGCUCGGAAACAAGCCCUUCUUUGGCGGGGAGACCCUCGGAUUCGUGGACGUGGCGCUUGUUCCAUUCUAUAGCUGGUUUCUUGUGUAUGAAAAAUUUGGCAACUUCAGUGUUGAGGCAGAGCACCCAAAGUUCAUUGCCUGGGUUAAGAGGUGCAUGGAGAGGAGAGCGUGUCCAAGUCGCUUCCCGAGCAGGAAAAGGUCUACGAUUUCUUCAUGCUUAUAAGGAAAAAGCGUGGGAUUGAGUAGAUAUUGGUGGAAGCCUGGCAAGAAGCUAUUGAUGAUCAGUGUCAUUCCAACUUGUUUAGGUCAUUGGUUUUUCUGUCUUUCAAGAUUCAACUGUUUUCGGUUGUUGAAUUAGAAUAAAAGGGCACUUGACAAGGCUUGCACUGUAUGAGGCACUUUAUUGUGCCUCAGGUCAAUAUGUUUAUUUUGCUUCUGUAGUCAACCUAUCACAGUGUUGUCAACUUGUUAUGCAAGGGAUCUAAAUCUACUUGAUCAAUUUUCUUAUUUUGUAACUACAUAUCGAAUGAUGGAUUAUUGGCUGUCACCAGUUGCAUUUAAUCGUGAGUCUAUCUUUCUUAUCAGGUAACAAAGACUCAUGGUUGUAUGCGGUAGAUUAUACAGUGAAUUUUCUUUUUAUCCAACUUUGAGUCAACAUUGAUAAGUCAUAUGAGAUCAGGUGCAGCAGACACAGCAAAAGAUCUCACCAGAACAUCUCAGACAGAAAAACAAACUGAAAAGAAAAUGAACUAGAAUAACGCAUCCUAACAUUCAUCAUCGAACUUUUAACAUGGUGAUCAGGACAAUCUCAAAUACAUAAAACCUCGUCCGACUCCGCCAUUGUUGACUUGAUGCACAAACUUCUUGCAGAUCAAUUUGCUUCUUGCCAAAUAUUUGACACCUACGUUUCAGUCUCACUUAUAUUGGCCAAUUUUUGUUUCAUAAUCUAUAUUAAGUCAGCCAGUAAUAUUUUCUACAUAAACAUUUUUAUUCCUGUAAUUUGAUUCAUAUUUCAUUUUUGUAUACCUAUAUAAACCUACUUCAUGGGAUCCCUGCGCUAAACCAACUUUGCCUUUUGAAAAUUCAUAGUGCUCUUCAUUAAUUAGAAAGGAGGCAAAAAUACAGCAACGCCCUAAUGAGACCCCCUUCCGAUGUUGAGCCCUAAUGAUACCCCCUUCCGAUGUUGAACCAUCACUCAGACUAGAACACCACAAUGACACCACAAUUACACUUCAAUGAUUUAAAAAACAACCAAAACCUCAUUUUCAAAGAACUCCAUUUACCAACAAGUGACUUACAUUUCAAUUUGAUUUAAACCAAAAUUCUUAAGAUUUUGAACCACCAGUGCAACAAUAACAAUCUGACAACCCCACAACGACACUCCAAUGAUACUCUCCAUUUUAUGAUUUGAACUGGCACAACCACAACAACAAUCUGAUGAUGUCACAAUGACAUUCCAACGAUAUAUACUUCCCUUUUUAUGAUUUUGAACCAACACAACCACAACAACAAUUUGAAGAUGCCAAAACGACACACCCCCAUUUUUUUGAUUUCGAACCACCUCAGCCACAACACUUCAUUCAAGGAACCCUCUCCUUCUACAUUCCCUAACCACCACAACCAAAUUUCAAAUACAAAAAAAAUCAAAUAAUUGAGCUAAAGCAAGAUGAAACAGAGAGGGGAAGAAGAAGAAUGGAUACGGGAGGUGGAGCAAUAAGAAGCUUACCUCCUUUCAUGGUGUUCCAAAUGUUAUUUACCGCUCCAAAUUCAAUUAGUCAAGACGGCGCAAUCGAAAAAUGGAUUUGGGAGUGUUGUUGGGUGUUGGUAGUUUUUUUUUUAUCAAUGAAGAACAUGAUGACCAAUAAAAAGAUAAGUGAAGGGUAGUGUGGACUUUUCAUAUGAAAAUUUGAUCAAAAGAACAAUUUUUAAUAAGUGUGAUAAAAAAUAUAACCAAAUGUCAAAACAUAUCUAUUUUGGCUAAUUGCUGUAUAAUCUUCUGAGGUCAUAAUUGGAUCUAGCCUCCAACAAAACCACUAAACUAAAAGCUAGUGACAGUAACCCAUAAGUAAAUAUUACUAUAAAAGCGACCGAGAGUGAUAAUAAAACUUGGCAAAAUAAAUUUAUAUUGAUAGUGGAGGUUAGAUUUGCUCCAUAUCGAGGCUCCUUAUCGGACUUGGCUUUCUCGUGCUAUUAAUUGUAGACACUUUUGAUAUUGUUGUGGAGUGAUUGUUGUCACUGGCCUUUAAUGAGUCAAGGACCUAUGAGUUGAUUGGUGAAUAAGAUCUAAAAAUGUGUUUUCACUAAUGUAAUAUAAAUAGGUGGUUAUUCUAGCAUUACUCUUCAUAUACAAUUGGAUGAUUCAAAUCUUUUUUGUAACCUUCUUCAUGGCCUGGAAUUAUACAACUGUUUUUUUCCCUAAUAGUUCUUAUUACACCUUUACUUGAUUUGCAUCACUUCCUUUAUGUUAAUAAAAUUAGACGAUUGCACAUGCUUCCUUACGGACCCAAAGACAACAUUUUUUUUUAACCAUUCUAGUUCCGUGUGGUUGAAUGGGAUUACAGGCUUUAGGGUUUUAGGGAUGCAGCACACCCCAAUAUUGCUAAAGGAAUUGUGACUCUAAAAACUACUUAGCCUAGGUGGUGCACAUACCGAAUAGCUAAUAAGUUAACUACGUUCUUCGGUUGAAUGCGGAGUGUGCCAACUCGUCUGUCAAGCUCGGCCGGGGAGUGAAUAAAUGUUGAUGUGACGUUGGGCACUGAUGACUUCUGAAUCUUGCGAUUGCGGCCGAGGAAGGAGCACAUCUCGCCCUUUGGGUUCUAAAGCCUGAAGACAAGGCUGCUAGUUCAGUAGAUUGACGACCGCGAGAUUGGAUCCACCGCAAAAUCACCUUCUUCCUCAAAAAUUGUAUCCAGCAUUUUCGUCAAUGGGCGUUUGCUUAUUGAAAUGAACUGUGAUACUGCAACUUCUGUACGAGUACUCUUGGAGUUUGGCACUUUACCAUUCCUUCCAUUGCAAUGGAGGUAUGGAAUUAUGACAAUGCAGUUCUGGAAAGGGAAAAUUGGGAAGGUAGAGGAAGAUGGAGAGGUUGAAAGAGAAUAUGGUGCAAUGAACAAUUUUCUGGGGUUUUGUAGGGGUUUUAGAGAUUGAAAUUUGGCUGUUAUUUUUGUCUUGACGGCUACAUCUAAGGACAUUUGGUACUUUCCCAAUCCACCUUUAAUAUUCUAACUAAUGAGUCCACGUUCUAAUUAAAUUAGUUUAGUCUAUGAAGAAAGAAAUUCGAACUUUGAUGCACAAGAACUAACGAGCUGGUCUAACUCACAACUGCACUAUAAGAAUUGUCGAUAACAAUAUCAUUUUAUUUUUUAGCUUUCAUUUUUACGUUAAGGGUAAAGAGAAAACAUUAGAUAAAGGAGAUAUGGUGGUGAGAUGAGGAGGGGAAAUGAAGAACAAUGCAUGAAACCAACUUUGCCUAUCGAAAAUUCAUAGUGCUCUUCAUUAAUAAGAAAGGAGGCAAAAAUACAACUUUGCCCUUCGGUGUAUAGUUGACUUCAUUUUUAUUUUUUAUCAUUUUUACUUCUUCUUUAUAUACAAUUUUGGAUAAUGCAUGCAUGCGUGCCUAGGUUUCUGAUUUUUUUUUAUAUUACCUAGGGGUUUACAUAUUAUAUGCUCGCGUGAAGAUACUGUAGACAUCGAAAUUUCGAUAAAUAAAUGUUGACCGAUAAAUCAAAGUGUCAACGCUCGUGUAUUACAUAAAUUUUACACGUAGCGUGUGACUCAACGAAAAUUGAAAUGAGUUGGAAAAAGUCAUCAAAUAGAACACGUGUCAACACCUGGCAGAAACGACUUAUUUCAUCUGGGAUAUUAUAUUCAAAAUUAAGCCUUGGAAAAUUCUAUAAAUACAAGCCCAUUUCAUUCAUUUGGAGGGGGAACCAAAAUCAUUAGGCAAAAUUCUUGAAGCUCUGAAGCUCUGAAACUCCGAAGCUCUCAAGCAUCCAGGUUCCCGAAGAAUCAAGAAAGUGUUCUUCGUUCUUCGUUCUUCGUUCUUCCAAGAUCAAGCCCCAACGGCCCUUUGGAUCAACAAUCAUCCACCAAUUCAAGAUCAAGCCCCGACGGCCCUUGAAGAAAGUGUUAUUCGUUAUUCGUUCAUCGUUCUUCCAAGAUCAAGCCCCAACGGCCUUUUGGAUCAACAAUCGUCCACCCAUUCAAGAUCAAGCCCCGACGACCCUUGAAGAAAGUGUUCUUCGUUCCUCGUUCAUCGUUCUUCCAAAAUCAAGCCCCGACGACCCUUAGAUCAACCAUCCAUCAAUUCAAGAUCAAGCCCCAAAGGCCCUUGAAGAACUUCCACCAAUUCAAGAUCAAGCCCCGACAGCCCUUGAAGAAAGCACCAUCGUUCAUCAUCCGUUCAUCCAAGAUCAAGCCCCAACGGCCCUUUGGAUCAACAACGUCAACAAAUCCACACAUCUAACCGUUCUUCAAGAUCAAGCCCAAAAGCCCUUGAAGAUCCGUUCAUCACUGUUCUUCAAGAUCAAGCCCAAAAGCCCUUGAAGAUCCGUUCAUCGCCAUUAUUCAAGAUCAAGCCCAAAAGCCCUUGAAGAUCCGUUCAUCACCAUUAUUCAAGAUCAAGCCUCAACGGCCCUUGAAGAAACACUCAUCCUUAAGAUCAAGCCCCAACGGCUCCUUGAAGAUCCGCUCAAAUCCACCUUCAAAGAUCAAGCCCACGGUCCCUUGAAGAAACUUCCAACAGUUCAUCCAAGAUCAAGCCUCGACGACCCUUGGAUCAACGAAACAUCCACAAAUCAAUACCUUACGGAAAUCGAAUCAGAUGAUCAAGAUAAAAAGAUUGUAACCUUACAAAUCCAUUAACACCAAAAUCUUUCUUUGCACACGUUGUUCUUGUCUCUUUCGUUUCAGGAAUUUUCCGUGUUCACAAAUUGGCACACCCGGUGGGAUAAUCUCUACCUCUCAUCUCUUUCUCCGUUCAAGAAAUUCGAGCACACUUCCAAAAUUAAUGGCAUCAAGGAAGGUUCAAACUGUUCCCGCAACUGGCGUAAAGAACAAGAGCGUCAUCGUCGCAAGUGGUGUCAUUUUAGGCAUCACGACUCGAAGCAAGGCAAGAGCUACUUCUGCCGCCUCUUUCACCUCUGCAUCAACUAUGCCAAGGGAAUAAGAGCACCCAAGGCACGAGCCUUUGAUCACCUUAGCCUCACCAAGGGCACCAAGGAGCGAAAGUCCAAGGAAAUACUCCGAAUCCAUACUCUCCGAUGCCGAUUCGAGCGGCAGUUCAGCCAUGCAAGUCAUGACCAUUGGAGCAACUUCAAUCGAUGAGUAGCUGGCUCAAAUGAAUGAAGCAAUCGCAAGGCUAACCCGAACUGUGGAAGAAAAAGACUUGCAAAUCGCUGCACUCGUCAGCCGACUGGAGCCACAGGCGGCGAGAACCCUAACCCAGAAGAUGAGCCUACGGUGGAGAGAAUCGAUGCGAAGCCGGAGCCAGACCAAGCAGCGGCACUCAUGGGAUCUCUUUCUAUCCAGCAGUUGCAAGAGAUGAUCACCAACACCAUCAAGGCACAGUACGAAGGGAGCUCAAAUACCUCCGGGUUGUACUCAAAGCCUUAUUCAAAGAAGAUUGAUGCCCUAAAGAUACCGAGGGGAUAUCAACCACCAAAGUUCAUGCAGUUUGAUGGAAAAGGAAACCCAAAGCAGCAUGUUGCACAUUUUGUCGAAACUUGCAACAACGCGGGGACUGAGGUAGACUACCUCGCCAAGCAGUUUGUGCGCUCGCUAAAAGGAAACGCCUUUGAGUGGUACACGGACCUAGAGCCUGAGUCUAUCAACAGCUGGGAACAGUUGGAAAGGGAAUUCCUCAACCGCUUCUACAGCACCCGCCGCACUGUGAGCAUGCUAGAGCUAACGAGCACAAAGCAGUGGAAUGACGAGCCAGUCAUUGACUACAUCAACAGAUGGCGCACUCUAAGCCUCGACUGUAAAGACAGGCUCUCGGAAACUUCUUCAAUCGAGAUGUGUAUCCAAGGCAUGCAAUGGGGUUUGCAAUACAUCCUUCAAGGCAUCAAACCACGGACCUUCGAGGAAUUGGCCACUCGCGCCCAUGACAUGGAGUUGAGCAUCGCCCAUCAUGGGAAGAAGGAACCGAUCACCGACUACAAGAACGACAAAGUUCUUGAGACAAAGGUAGAGAAGGCUGCGUGGAAAUCCACUAAAGAAGCGAUGACGGUCAACACAUCUCCCGUCAAAAUCUCCACACGAGGCAAGGCGAUUCAAACCGAAGCUUUUCGUGAUCAAGAGAUGCGUAGACGCACUUUGAAGGAGCUUGAGGAGAAGACUUAUCCGUUCCCCGACUCUGAUGUGGUUGCCAUGCUGGAUGACCUGUUGGACAAGAAGGUGAUCAGUUUGCCUGAGUGCAGACGGCCGGAAGAGAUGAAUCGUACCGACAGCCCAAGAUACUGUAAAUUCCACCGCUUCAUCAGCCAUCCAACGGAAAAGUGCUUCGUACUGAAAGUGCUUCAUACUGAAAGAUCUCAUCCUGAAGCUGGCACAACAAGGGAAAAUCGAGCUUGACCUCGAAGACACGGUUGCGGCACACACUACUACUAUCGUGUUUGGAUCACUUGAUCAUAUGCCUUUCCGAAGCAUGCAUGACCAUUCCCGUCAAUGUUCAAGUCAUAAGGCACCUCCUACACAACCAUCACCGGGGGCAAGCAACCAAGAUGCAGCUACUGGUGAUAAGAAAGAGUGGACAUCGGCGACCUACAAAAAAACGAGGAAGCCAAGACCACAAGCCACAAGACCAAAAGAAGAGCCUAAACCCGCCCCUCGAACUUCAGUCUUCGAAAGGCUGAAUUAUUCAAAACCUAGAAUUUCGGCACUUGAUGACAUUAGUGGUCAAGACCAAACUUCCGUCUUCAAAAGGCUUGAGACGCCAACACCGCAAAGAUCUGUCUUUGAAAGGUUAUCAAAACCCAAGAAACAAAGCGGCACAGCUAGAUUUCCUCCACAACGGUCGGCUUUGGACAGACUUGAAGAAACUAAGAAGCCUUCUAGAAACAGGAAGACAACGCCAAAGGGAGAAAAGCUCGACAGUCUAGCAAGAAAAGACGAUGUUCAAAGUUUGAUUCCUUCAAGGAUGAAGCGCCAAGCAACUUUGGAAGUCGACACAAAAGGACCACUGAAGGUAAGGAGGCGCACCAUCAUCUACACUGGCCAACCUUCACGGCAACAAACCCAAGAGGACCGCACUGAAGAGGAGGCCCAAGAAGACAAAGAAGACGAAAUCCUGGAAGAAGACCUCACUUCCGGCUCUGUCAACUCAAAAUCUUCACCUCAAUCGCUGGGGGCAUGCUCCAAAAACAUGCCAGUCAAGCCGAGUGAAGUUAAAGGAUGGACUUAUGUCACUCAUGUUCACCUCCAAAACAUGCCAGUCAAGACUUCACAUUUUUUAUUGUUUUAGUGAUUUCGAUGACAUCGAUAAUUAUUUAAUCUUGCGUUUGCUGCAUUAUUUAAACUUCUAUAUUCAUAUUCAUCUUUUAGGGUUCAUAUUAAUCUUGCGUACCUAGUAACAUGAGUCGUAUUAGCGCUAGAGUCAUAUACUACUUUUACAAAUUGAGGAUAGCCAUUCUCCACAUGAACUCCUACUCUCAAUCUUUAGCCGUUUAAUUGACGUAUGUUUCUCAUUGCAAGUUUUUCUUUCUUUUUUCUUCUUCUUUCCUUGUCAUUGGGAGAUGAUCAGUGGAAAAUGAGGAGAGACAUGGCCUGUAUUAAAGAAAUCCGAGACCAAUUUAGUUUUGAUUUAUUAAUUAACUUCUACACCUAGAUCAUUAACAGAGAUAGGGUCUUUAUUUAUUUUGUUCAAGACUAAGUCUAAAGACUUGUGAAAUAUAUAUAGAAGCAUUAUUUGUUAGCAGUAACGAGAGUGUCUUUUUUUUUUUUUUUUUUUUUUUUUUUUACUCGGAAAGACUUAGCACCACGGGUCAUUUUUUUAAGGCUUUUUAGAAGUUGAAUAAGAUGAUUUCAAACUAUACUAAGAUGAUUUCAAAUCAUCAUUUUGAAAUCAUUCGGCAACUACUAAACGUUCAGAUGAUUUGAAAUAUUUCGACAAAUUAAACGUUCAAAUGGUUAUAUUCAAUCCCUGAAAAUUAAAAAUGAGUGUUAUAAGAUUUGAGAAAUGGGGGGUGUAAAGAAAAUGUGGGGUGUAUGUACAAAAUAUAAGAUGUAUAUUGAGAAUGCAGGGUGUGGGGUAUUAUGGGAAAGUAUGUGGGGUGUAUGAAGAUAAUUUUUAAGUGGAAAAGCAAAUAUAGGGUGUAUUAAGUAUGUGAGGUUUAUUCAACAAUUUGUGGGAUGUUAAUAUAAUUAGCUAAACUGAAAACCAAAAAAAUAAAAACUCAAAAAAGUAGUUUUUAGUUUCAAAUUUUUGCAAACUUAAUAUUGAUAAUAGUUACCAAACAAAAUUUUAAUUUUUUAGAAGAAAAAAAAAACCUAAAAAUGCAAUGAUUAUCAAAAUGAGUUAGUUAAACCAAUGAGCGAUUGUGGACAAAAUUGGGCUGGACUGGAACUAGGCUUUACAUAUUUGAAAUAGGAGUGGACCCAAGACUUACAUAUUUUAAACAGAACCUAAUGGCCCGACCCAUUUAACUCUUAGGGCCAGAGGUAUAGGGCCAAGUACGACUUGGGCAGCUAUACCUUGGGCUCUUGUUGGCCUUCCCGAUCCAAUCUACAGGCCUACUAGAAACUACGGGUCCAACUCACUGUGGGUAUCAAAGUUGGUUGAAGGCCUUUUCAGUAUCUAACUUAUAGAUUAUUUUCUAGGGAGUUUUAACGAAAAGCCCACAGUAUUGUUUAUUUUAACGAAAAACCACAUUUUUAUACUAAAAAGUCAAACUUGAUACUAUUCACUUUACUCUUUAUUUUGUCCUUAUCAUUAAAACUCAAAAUUUUCAAACUUUUUUCAUUAGUUUUCCUUAUGUUCUAUUACAUUUUUUUACAAGGGAUAUUGAAGGACAUGAGCUGGCUUCAACUAUAAAUCCCUUCUUGUUACAAAGUUGAAUUCUUGACCAGUUAAAAGAAGGAAGAAAAGUAGAAGGAUUUUGUUCAUGCCACUUUACAGCAGUAGCGGAAAUCAUUAAAUCUUACGUUUCACGAGUUUAGUUUGAUCACACCAAUUUUUUAUUUUAAAAUUUAACAAUUUAAUUUACUGAACACUACAUUUAGUCAAAACCCAAAAGAAAAUUAUGAGAAUUUCAGGAUUUUAAUGUCGUAAGCAGUUACAUAAUCAGAUCCAAAUCGAACGAUCUCGAAUGUAUCCAAAAAAGAAGAAAAAUAGAAUAUCUCCAUUCCUGCAGUGUAGUUUUUCACUUCAACUUUUGUCUAUAAAUAGACACAACCCCCCACCACGACCUCCACCGCCAGUCCACGGCUUCAUAUCUAAGCUAACCUUCUGCGACCCUUUUGCAAACUUGUAUCAAACUGUUCAGAUUUCAACCUUCAAUGGCGGAUAAGGUGGUUUUGUUGGAUUUCUGGCCCAGCCUCUUUGGGAUGAGGCUGAGGAUCGCUCUGGCUGAGAAGGGCAUCGAGUAUGAGUACAAGGAAGAGGACUUGUCGAACAAGAGCCCACUGUUGCUGCAGAUGAACCCGGUUCACAAGAAGAUCCCGGUUCUUAUUCACAAUGGAAAACCGGUCUCUGAGUCCCUUAUUGCGCUUCAGUACAUUGAUGAGGUUUGGAAUGAUAAGGCUCCACUCUUGCCCUCUGACUCUUACCUCAGAGCCCAGGCCAGGUUCUGGGCUGACUUCGUCGACAAGAAGGUGAUUUUUACUCAUUAAUUUACUUAUUUGUAGGAUUAUUUUUGUUUUGAAUAUGUUUGGUUUGAAACAAUUGAACAAUGUUGUUUUAGAAUUUUAAGAUUAUAAGUGUUUAGGGUGUAUAAUUAUUUUACCACUUGGGAUUUGUAUUAGAAGGGAAAUUAAAUGGAACUGGAUCUCUGUUUCUGUUUUCGGGUUAAGAUUUCAUGUAAUGGUUCCGGUUUUAGGGUUUAGGGUUUAAGGUUUAAGGUUUGUGAUGUAUAUUUAGAAAGAUAAAAGCAGAAGAUCUGAACUUGCCCAAAACAAUGUAUAUUAAUUUCCCCGAAAUUUGGGAUGUGAAAUGCAGAUAUUCGAGAAUCGGAAGAAGUUGAGGACAACCAAAGGAGAAGAAUAUGAUGCAGCAAAAGAAGACUUUCUCGACUGCAUCGGCGUGUUAGAAGGAGAGCUCGGAGACAAGCCCUUCUUUGGCGGGGAGACCCUCGGAUUCGUGGACGUGGCGCUUGUUCCAUUGUAUAGCUGGUUUCUUGUGUAUGAAAAAGCUGGCAACUUCAGUGUUGAGGCAGAGCACCCAAAGUUUAUUGCCUGGGCUAAGAGGUGCAUGGAGAAGGAGAGCGUGUCCAAGUCGCUUCCCGAGCAGGAAAAGGUCUACGAUUUCUUCAUGCUUACAAGGAAAAAGCGUGGGAUUGAGUAGAUAUUGGUGGAAGCCUGGCAAGAAGCUAUUGAUGAUCGGUGUCAUUCCAACUUGUUAGGUCAUUUGGUUUUUCUGUCUUUCAAGAUUCAACUGUUUUCGGUUGUUGAAUUAGAAUAAAAGGGCACUUGACAGGGCUUGCACUGUAUGAGGCACUUUAUUGUGCCUCAGGUCAAUAUGUUUAUUUUGCUUCUGUAGUCAACCUAUCACACUGUUGUCAACUUGUUAUGUAAGGGAUCUAAAUCUACUUGAUCAAAUUUCUUAUUUUGUAACUACUUCAUAUCGAACAACGGAUUAUUGGCUUUCACCAGUUGCAUUUAAACGUGAGUCUCUUUCUAGCAGGAGACAAAGACUCAUGGUUGAAUGCAAUCGAUUAUACGAUGAAUUUUCUCCUUAUCCAACUUUGAGUUAACAUUUUUCAGUCGUAUGAGAUCAUGUGCGGUACACACAGCAAAGAUCUUACCUGAACAUGUCGACAGAAAAACAAACUGAAAAGAAUAUGAAGGCAUCCUAACAUUCAUCCAAGGAUUUUCUAACAUGGUGAUCAGUGUGAUAAUACACCAGUAGCUAGCCGCGGAGUCAUGUAGAAGGCUGGUCGGAACUCAGGCCGGCCUAAUUUUAUUUGUGAUAGUCCUCUCCACGCAAUGAUCUUUGGGCACUCUAUUUGCACAAAUUUCCACAGGUCUCAAAUACAUAAAACCUCGUCCGACUCCGCCAUUGUUGACUUGAUGCACAAACUUCUUGUAGAUCAAUUUGCUUCUCGCCAAUAUCUGACACCUGCGUUUCAGUCUCACUUAUAUUGCCCAAUUCUUGUUUUAUUCAUGUAAUUGGAUUCAUAUUUCAUUUUUGUCGAUAAAGUGCACACAUGGUCAACAAGUGAUUUGUUCAAACCUAUAUGAACCUACUUCAUGGGAUCCCGUGCACUUAACCAACUUUGCCUGUUGAAAAUUCAUAGUGCUCUUCAUUAAUCAGAAGGGAGGCAAAAAUACAGCGAUGCUCUAAUGAAACCCCCUUCUGCUGUUGAACCAUCACUCCGACUAGAACACCACAAUGACGCCACAAUUACACUUCAAUGAUUUUAAAAACAACCAAAACCUCAUUUUCAAAGACCCACAUUUAACAACAAGGGACUUACAUUUCAAUUUGAUUUAAACCAAAAUUCUUAGGAUUUUGAACCAACGGUGCAACAAUAACAAUUUGAGGACCCCACAACGACACUCCAAUGAUACUCCCCAUAUUAUGAUUUGAACUAGCACAACCAUAACAACAAUCUGAUGACGCCACAAUGACACUCCAACGAUAUAUACUUCCCUUUUUAUGAUUUUGAACUAACAGAGUCACAACAACAAUUUGAUGAUGCCACAACUACACACCCCCAUUUUUUGAUUUCGAACCACCUCAGCCACAACACUCAUUCAAGGAACCCUCUCCUUCUUCAUUGCCUAACCACCACAACCAAAUUUCAAAUACAAAAAAAAUCAAAUAAUUGAGCUAGAGCAAGAUGAAACAGAGAGGGGAAGAAGAAGAAUGGAUAUGGGAGGUGGAGCAAUAAGAAGCUUACCUCCCUUCAUGGUAUUCCAAAUGUUAUUUACCACUCCAAAUGUGAUUAGUCAAGACGGCGCAAUCGAAAAAUGAAUUUGAGAGUGUUGUUGGGUGUUGGUGGUUUUUCUAUGGGUAAAUUACAUUUUAUCUCCUCAAGUUUGAGGUUGAUUGUAACCUUAUAACAUCUUUAAAACAUUUUAAUUCAUACAUUUACUUAUCAUUUUAUUUCAAUUUCAUAAAUCCGUUAGAAAAUUCGUUAAAUAAACCGUUAAGUGAUGACAUGGAAAAUAUUAGAUCCAUAUUUGUGCUGAUGUGGUUACUAAAUUUGUGUCACGUAGUAAAAAAUAAUAAUUUUUCUACGCGUUUCAAAAUAAUAAUUUAAUCAGAAUAUUAAAUACUAAAAUAAUUAAUUAAAGAAAAGUUUGAAAAAAAACAAAAGAAACCUAAAACCCAUAUCGUCCCCUUCCCCAUCCGCAGCCUCAUUCCCCACCGAUUCUCCCACCACCACCCACUUGCCCACCCGAGCCACCCCUUCUCCCGUCACCAACCCCGUCCCCCAUCACUUCCGCACGAAGCUUCUCCCUCCAGCACCACCAUCAUCCCCCAUCACCCAUCACCACCCCCUUCCCCAUCACUUCCGCAACACGCUUUUCCCUCCAGCACCACCACCAUCCCCCAUCACUCAUCACCACCCCCUUCCCCAUCACUUCCACACCACGCUUUUCCCUCCAGCAGCACCACCACCAUCCCACAUCACCACCCCCUUCCCCAUCACUUCCGCACCAAGCUUCUCCCUACAGCACCACCACCAUCAAUUUCCUCAUCCCAAAGCCCCGAGCAACCCAGAGACCCCUAAUUUUUCCCCCACCUUCAUCACCACCUCAAACCCUUGCCUUGAUUUCUUCUUCCAAGUGGUGCUCUUCAUCCCCUUCUCAUGGAAGGAAGAUCCAAAUCUGCUGGGAAAACCUGUUUUUCGAAUUCGAACCCCGAGAUUUGUUGCACAAGGACAAGAAAUCGUCUUCGGUGUGGAAUCUCCGCCUAUGACUCCGACGUCGAUUGGUGGCUCCUCGGAAUCUCCAAAUUCGCAAACCUUGCCGCCUCGGCUGGGCUCAGCAAACUUCCCCCCGAAUUCUCCAGCGGGCUGUCGAAAUUAAACUUCGCGGCGACUGCGACAAGGCCAAAACUGCGAAAACGAAUCCCAGCGAAUGCUCUGCACGCAAUCUUCUGGCGGUUUUAGCGACUCCACCUCCGUCGCGAAAGCUCUGCACGCCAAACUCGCCAGUUCAACCCGAGACCGGGCAAUCUGCACAGGAUUUUUGGGUAAAUGUUUUAACGGCACAUUUAUUUUAUUAUUAUUAUUUUUUGUUUGGGUUUCCAGAUGCCCACCCUCGACGGCGGCCAAGAAAUUGUGGAGGGAGUGGUAUCCGGCUGCUCGGCUUGUUUUAAGAUUUGCUGGAGAAGAGGAGUGGGCCCCUUUGUAUUUUGUUUUAAUUUAUUUUUGUACUUAUUUUUUAUUUUAUUUUCCACGUUAUCACUUAACAAAUUUUUUAACUGAUGUAUUAUAUUGAAAUAAAAAUGAUAAGUAAAUGUAUAAAAUUGAAAUGUUUUAAUGAUGUUAUAUGAUGUUGUAAUCAACCUAAACCUAAGAGGAUAAAAUAUAAUUUACCUUUUUUUUAUCAAUGACCAAUAAAAAGAUAAAUGAAGGGCAGUGUGGACAUUUCACAUCAAAAGUUGAUCAAAAGAACAAUUUUUAAUAAGUGUGAUAAAAAAAUACAACCAAAUGUCAAAACAUGUCUAUUUUGGCUAAUAACCCUAUAAUCUUCUAAGGUCAUAAUUGGAUCUAGCUUCCAACAAAACCACUAAACUAAAAGCUAGUGACAGUAACUCAUAAGUAAAUAUUAUUAUAAAAGCGACCAAGAGUGAUAAUAAAACUUGUCAAAAUAAAUUUAUAUUGAUAGUUGAGGUCAAAUUUGCUCCAUAUCGAAGGUCCUUAUCGAACUUGGCUUUCUCAUGCUAUUAAUUGUAGACACUUUCAAUAUUACUGUGGUGUGAUUGUUGUCACUGGCCUAUGAUGAGUCGGAGACUUAUGAGUUGAUUGGUGAAUAAGAUCUAAAAUAUGUUUUCACUAAUAUAAUAUAAAUAGGUGGUUAUUCUAGCAUUACUCUUUAUAUACAAUUGGAUGAUUCAAAUCUUUUUUGUAACCUUCUUCAUGGCCUGGAAUUAUACAACUGUUUUUUUCCCUAAUAGUUCUUAUUACACCUUUACUUGAUUUGCAUCACUUCCUUUAUGUUAAUAAAAUUAGACGAUUGCACAUGCUUCCUUACGGACACCAAAGACAACAUUUUUUUUUUAAAAACUAUUGUAGUUCCGUGUGGUUGAAUGGAUUACAGGCUUUAGGGUUUCAGGGAUGUAGCACACCCCAACUUCAUGGCACAAUCGACGUAAAAAUAUUCUGAAAAUUGCAUAUAACACAUCCACGCCAAAACAAACCUGGGGCAUUAUGUACUGAUUCCAACUUCCGAUCGUAUUUUUCGUCUCCAUCCUCCUGCAAAAAGUGAAAUCUCGUUGUAAAAAUUAAUGUAAUUAUAGUAAUCUACAUAAAACUAAGAACUAAAUAAGAUAUUAAGGUCUCGUUUAUGUACUAAUUAUUUCAAUCGAAUAAGAUAAUCUGUCAUCGAACUGUACUAACUAAAUUAGUCGAACGUUUGGUGCAUUAUCGUAGUAAUGACCGUAUUAUUUAUAAUGUGUUUGGUACCGUACUGGAUGAGAGAUCGGAUUAUAUUAUUUUUACUAAAAAAAUUUGAUGACUAAUGAAAAAAAAAUUCACAACCAAAUGCAUCAAAUUUAAAAACAAAAUAAAAAUAAUUUUGCUUGUCACUUCGAUAUUGCAUUUUCUAUUUGUCCUUUAUUUAGAGCAAGUCCACCCCUAAAGACUUUGCGUCAGCACUCAGCGCAUUUAUCCACUCAAGUGAGAUUCCAGGGAACAGUAAUAGGCCAAAGUAUCUCCACGCCUAAAAAAAUAGCCUAGUCAAUUUAUUAAAAUAUUAUUAUUUUUAUUAUAAAAUAAUAAAAACUAAUAAUUUUAUUUUUAAUUUUUUGACUUUAUAAAAAAAUAAAUAUUAUUAUUAUUAUUAAAAUACUUUUAUUUUCUCAUCUUCCACACUUCCCUUCCCUUCCAUUCCUGCACGCCAUCCACCUUAACAUAGAUAAUCCAUUCCCACCGCCGCCUCCAAACCUCCUCCUCUCAUCCUCCAACACCGUUGCCCUCCUGUCUUUCAAGUCCCAAGCCGACCUCAACAACAAGCUCCUCUACCUCUCCUGCAUCUCCACACCUCUUGUCCUUCAACACCGUCGCUUCAUCCGCCUGCAUCUCCACACCUCCGAUGUCGUCGCUUUGUCCUCUCGUCCUUUUCCCUCCAUGGCUCCUUCCGUCCCGACACCCUCUCUCGCCUCGACCAGCUCCGCUCCUCAGCCUCCACAACAACUCCCUCUUUGGCGCAAAAAAAAAAAAAAAAAAAAAACUGACGUCAUAUGCCCUCCGACGCCACGCUGACGUCAGAUGGACCUGUCCCAAUGUCUGUCAAUUUUGGGCUGGCAUGGAGACUAGCUUGGGCUGGGUGCCAGUCAAUGGAAUGGAUUGGCUAAGUGUUAGCCUUGUUUUUUGGCUGAGUGCCGACCUAACCACCUCCCGGUGGAACUGCUCUUAGGAGGCAGAUUCUCUGACCUCCCACUUUCCUUGUCCUUCGUGCCCUUCUGUUUUGUGUGGUCACGGUUAAAUCACAUUAACAUUUUAUAUUAUUUUUUUAUAGAGAUAAUAAGACAAAAAAGAAUAGUAAUAUAAAAUAUUGACGUGACUUAACCAUGACCACACAAAUAGAAGGGCACGAGUCCCUUUAUUUAAACCAAAUUAUAAAAAAUAAAAAAUCUUCCCCAUAUCUUCUCCAUCGCACCGCCCCCAGACACCCUUAGUACCUUCUCCUUACCAGUUCAAGCAAAUCUUCCCCCUCAAUACAUCUGAAACAAAUCCCAAAUUACCCAGAAAUAAGGAAACUUAAUUACUAUUAAAAAAACAAAAAAGGGGGAAAUGGGUUGUAAAAUUCGUACAGGGCUCUGCUGAAACCAUUUGCUUCGUGGUUGACAAAGAUGAACCGUCCAUAUACUGGGUUUCUGUCAAAUCGAAAAUCCCUAUCAAGAACUGUUGCUCGAACUUAGGGUCUAAUGCGUUAAAACUAUUUGUAGGACAGAGAACUUCAUGGAUGCUGCAAAUCGAAGAAAGCUCUGAAGUGAACCGAGAGAAACCAACGUCAACCUACCACCAUCAGAUUGGGCCAGUUAACUGCCGAGGUCCAUGACCGUGACCCGGAGGGUUUGGCUCAGGCACCUUCGAGUAUUCGACAUAACCGAAGAGGAAGAGGGUGCGGGUAAAGAACGGAGGGAGUCGGACUAAUAAUACGUUCCUUUUGGGGUGUAUAAUUAAGGGGGCGUAAAGUGUAAUAAAUUGGAGGAGCCGGAUAAUUAGGGAUGGCAAUGCUUAUGGCGGGCGGGUAAUCGCGGUUAUUUACCCAUAACUGUUUAUAUUCAUACCUGUAUAACUGUUUAUCCGUUAAGUAAUUGCAUUAAUGGUUAUACCCAUAUCCAUAACCAUUUAUAAAUGGUUAACUACAUCCAUAAUCGUGUAUCUAUUUAACCAUAACCAUUUACCCGUUUAUCCGUUUUUGAACCUAUUUAUCAUUUUUUUUACCCAUUUAUCUUCUUUUUUUCACCCGCUACAUGUUUUAACGAUAAAGCCAAUCUUGUGUGUAUGAUAUAGGUCAUGUGGUGAUUGACCUCAAGGCUAUAAUGGCUAUCCCCAAGGUUUAACGAUAAAAUUCUUUGGCCAAAGCCCUCCAUUCAUCAUGGACGUGUGAGACUCUUGGCCUUGAUCUUAGGUAUUGAUUGUUUUGCAGGUGCAUUUUCAUCCAAAAAACAAAAAACAAAACAAAACAAAAAUUUGCAUCUAGAGUGAGUAAAAGUGGAAAUUGAUGGAUGUUGGUGGGAAGGUUACAAAGAAAAGAAGCAUGGGGUGGUGGGCAGGUUGGGAUUUGGGUGUUAAUUGGUGGAAGUAGAUUUUUGGAGGUGGUUUUGGGAGAGAGAUUGAGGUUUAGAGAUUGUGGGGUGGAAGGAGUUGGAAAUGAGAUUUAAUUGUCGAAUUCGGUGGGGAAUUUUGCAGGAGUGGCAUUUCUUAUUGCUCUAUGUAAUCUGUUGUGAGCUUUGGAGAGAGAAGCAUAGAAAAUGAAAGGGUCUCGUAAGGUAUGAGGAGGAGGUUGUGGUGAGUUGAGUUGAGUUGAGUUGAGCGAGUCAGUUUACCUGUAAAAAGAUGUUUUUUGUUCAGAAUGAACGGAAUAUCAGAUAAAAAAUUUGUUUGUAUCAUACUUAGGGCCUUCGUAUUUAGACCUCAUAUAAAUACUCGGGAGACUUAAGUGUAAUUAUGUAAUAAAUGAAGGGGCAAAUAUGUAAUAAGUGAUGAGCCCUUAGUCUAUAAAAGGGACUCCUCACCCUCACAAUCCUCAGGCCUCACAUCCCCUAAACAGAGGCUCUCUCAAACUCUCUUUCUCUGGGGGACUCCCCUUCACCCUUGUAAUCCAUACAUACAGUUAGAAAGAAAUACAAUCAACAUCAGUGUGGACGUAGCCCAAACAUUGGGGUGAACCACGAUACAUCUUGUGUUCUUUACUUUCUUGCAGAUUCACAGUCGAAUUUACAUUGUUCCAAGACAUCUGGUUUUGUGCAUCAACAUUUGGCGCCGUCUGUGGGAAACGGUACGAAAAGUUAUGUUGGUUCUCUUUCAUUUUUUCACCUCCACCAUGAAUCUGCAAAAACCCAAGAACCCUAAGUUUUCCCAGAAAAACCUAAGAAACCAAACCCUCUCUCUCUCUCCCUCUUUCGGCUCUUGCUGUUGAUAACAAAAAGGAUGAUAAAAAAACUCUUUUGCUCUUUUCGGCCUGAUGAGCAGAACGGCGCCCUUGGCCGUUUUACACCUUGCCUCCGCCCAAGACGUGGCGGGACUGGUGUAGGUAGCCUACUCUUCGCCGCACGGGUUCACGGUCUCGGCUAGAUGCCACAGGCACUCCAUCAACGGGCAGGCGCAGACCAACAACGGUGUCGUGAUUCAGAUGAGCGGGGGAUCGUUGAUCGGUGAGGCGGAAGCUCACCUGCUCAUUUUACAAAGCUCACCUGCUCCAAUAUAUGUUAGCCAUAUAUUGCCCGUCUCAAUAACCACACUGAAAUCAAACAGCAAGUGACCCGUUACAUUAAUUAGGUUGGAGUGUUUGAAAUUUAGAAGGAAACAACCGAGAACAUUCCUCGUCCACUUCCAAAUUGCAGUUGAAAAUUCAACGUUCUAUUUGUAUUUGUACUUGUACAACAUCUUCACUGUCGUUGUUUUAUUUGGGUUCCGCGAGAAACACGACAGACAACAUGAAUGGACUUCGGAGCAGCCAUUGCCAACGAUGUCUGCAACUACAAAUCCCAAUUCUCCUCCUCUUGUCCAUUAGCCUCCUAUUCAAUUUAGGUUCGGCAGACGAGCCCUCAACUCCCAAGAACGGAGACAAAGCUUCAAGUGGGUCGGUAGCGCUCAAGGCAGUGAUUGUGCUGCUGGGGGUGGCGGCUAUCAUCGGCUUCUGUGUCUUCUUGUUCAAGAUAUGGCAGAAGAAGAAGAGAGAAGAGCAACGCGCCCGUCUUCUUAAGCUCUUUGAAGACGACGAUGAACUCGAGGUUGAGCUUGGCAUUAAGGAUUGAUGAUUGAUCCCAAUGAACACAAUCCACCCUCCAGAAAGAAAAGCAAAAGAUAUCUUGCAAAGCAACAUGGGUGGGCAGAAUGAGCGGGGAGAUCAAGAAAAGCAGAAAGCAAAAGAAAAUAAAAAAAAGCAGACAUAAUUGCGGUGGUGAUGGCAUGCAAAAAAAGGAAUUAUGGGCGUGACCCAUUGAGCAGAGGGUCAGAUUUAUUUUUGAAUGAUGUGAUCUAUUUAUCUUUCGGAGACAUCUGUAUAACCCCAUCAGAGAGUAAUAAAAAAAAAAAAACAAGCCUAAAAUAAUGGGUUGGAAUGUUAUGUGGAGGCUGAAGGCCCAUAUGCCCAAAAGAGCCAGACCCUUUAUUAUCACAAACUAGGUGAUCAAAAGUAAGUCCAGUACUCUAAAAUUAUUCGGCAGCCUACUGCUAUUAUCACCAACCAGGUGAUCAAAAGUACGUCCAGUACUCCAAAAUUAUUCGGCAGCCUGUCGUUAUUAUCACUAACUAGGUGAUCAAAAGUACGUCUAGUACUCCAAAAUUAUACAUGAGCAUCACUCAUGUCAAUCAUACAUAAACAUUCAUGAGCAUCACUCAUGUCAAUCAUACAUAAACAUUCAGGACCAUUAUUCAUGUCAACAUUCAUGAGCAUCACUCAUGUCAACAUCCAUGAGCAUCACUUAUGUCAAUCAAUGUAAACAUUCAUGAGCAUCACUCAUGUCAAUCAGCUUCGAAAGCUUCAUUUACAGAGCUCCAGCUUCAGCUUCAGCUUUCAGAGCUUCAUCAAGCUUCAAAAGCUUCAUUUUCAAAAGCUCUCAAAGCUUCACUUGCAAAGCUUCACCUACAAAGCUUCAGUCAUGCAGGGUAUAUAAAAUACCGCAUCUGAACAAUCGCCCAACUUCGGCACUAUACUUUCAUAGAAGACUUGGGGGACUACACUAUGUACUUGGGGGACUUAGCCCAUUAUUUAUGUAUUGAAGAGCGAACCCUUAUUUUAUAAAAGGGACUCCUUCACUUUCAUUAGAGAGCACCCAUUAUUUAUGUAUUGAAGAGCGAGCCCUUAUUCUAUAAAAUGGACUCCCUCACCAUCAUUAGAUAGCAUCGUUGCCAGCUAAGCAACCUCCUCGCCGCGAACAUCAACUCUAGCCCAUCACUUAUGUAUUGAGAAGCGAGCCCUUAUUUUAUAAAAGGGACUCCCUCACCAUCAUUAGAGGCAUUGCCGCCUACUGAGCAACCACCUCGCCACGAGCAUCAACUCUAGCCUAUCACUUAUGUAUUGAGGAGCGAGCCCUUAUUUUAUAAAAGGGACUCCCUCACCAUUAUUAGAGAGCAUCGCCGCCUAUUGAGCAACCGCAUCGCCGCUAGCAUCACUUAUAGCCCAUCAUUUAUGUAUUGAGGAGCGAACCCUUAUUCUAUAAAAGGCACUCCUUCACCUUCAACGCCACAAGCCGAGCCAACCAAGGCAACAUAAGCCACAAGCCAAGCAACAUCGCAACAUGUGCUACUUCUAGUUGAGCAUCAUUUCACAUUGAGCACCGCCUCAUAUCGAGUAUCAGUUCUAGACGACAUCUAGUUACUUCGGCCCACACAUGGACUAAAUUUCAAGUCUCCAGCCAAAAGACUCUCUUGACGGAAGACUUGGGGUACUACUGUUUGUAUCAUACUUAGAGCCUUCGUAUUUAUACCUCGUAUAAAUACUCGGAGGACUCAAGUGUAAUUAUGUAAUCAAUGAAGGGGCAAAUAUGUAAUAAGUAAUGAGUACUUAGUCUAUAAAAGGGACUCCUCACAUUCACAAUCCUCGGGCCUCGCAUCCCCUAAAUAGAGGCUCUCUCAAACUCUUUUUCUCUGGGGGACUCCCCCUCACCCUUGUAAUCCAUACAUACAAUUAGAGAGAAAUACAAUCAACAUCAGUGUGGACGUAGCCCAAACAUUGAGAUGAACUACGAUACAACUUGUGUUCUUUACUUUCUUGCAAAUUCACGGUCGGAUUUACGUUGUUCCAAGACCUCCGAUUUUGUGCAUCAACAAAAUUAAAAAAAUCUAAUGGCAUAAAGAAAUUUGGCUAAUUAUAAAAUUUCGAAGAUAAUCAAAUAAGAUAAAAAUUUAUAAGAGAAAUUAACGUCUUACAAAAAAAUCGACAAAUAAGUCAUAUUAAAACAACUCUCAAGGUUCUGCCGUCUCAGUUCUUGUGCUCUUCCGUGCCCUCCUGUUUUAUGUGGUUACAGUUAAGCCACAUCAUUUUUUUAUAUUAUAUUUUUUAUAAAGAUAAUAAGAUAAAAAAUAAUAGUAAUAUAAAAUAUUAACAUUACUUAACCGUGAUCAUACAAAAUAAGAAAGUACGAUAGGGCACAAAAAGUGGGAGGGCAGGAAAUCUGCCUCCCUCUCCACCCAUGCUAUCUAAUUUCACACGUUUCAACAUGCAGAAGCUACUAAAUCUGCCUCCCUCUCCACCCAUGCUAUCUAAUUUCACACGUUUCAACAUGCAGAAUCUACUUGCAAUAUCACUCCCUUGUCAUUAUCACAUCACAUCACUUUUUGUUACUUGUCAUGACCCCAUGCAUGACUAUGCAUCCUGACAAUUCUGAUCAACCCCAUGCCGUUUCCUUUCUUAUUUUUUUUCUUUUUAUUUAAACAGUCAUAACAAAAUCACGUUAAGAUUUUAUAUUAAUUUUUUUUUUAUAAAAAAACAAAGUAAAGUAGGAAAUUUUAACAAAAAACUCAUGGUACUGUUCACUUUAACGAAAAACCAUAUUUUUACACUAAAAAGUUAAUCCUGGUACUAUUUACUUUACCUUUUAUUUUGUCCUUAUUAUUAAAACUCAAAGUUUUCAAAUCAUUUUCAUUAGUUUUAUUAAUACAGUACGUAAGAAGAGGAGAGAAAAGAGAAUAAAAAGAGAAAGAGAAAGAGGAAAAUUCUAAUCCCACUGCUCCAAUCCAAUCCGAUGACAAGAAUCCCAAUCCCAUGUAAACUGCACUGCUUGCUUGGAGAUAUAAUUAGAUUUGGAUUGUCUGCUCUCCUCAUCUCAUAUUCUUCGCAUGCCUCCUAUUAUGUGGUCACAGUUAAGUCACAUCAAUAUUUUAUAUUAAUUUUUUUAUAGAAAUAAUAAGACAAAAGGUAAUAGAAAUAUAAAAUGUUAACGUAACUGAACUGUGACCAUAAAAAUAGGAGGGUAUGAGAUGGAGAGAGUAGGCAAUCCAAGUCCGAUAUAAUUUGCAUCUUAUUAUUCCGUAAAAGAAAAGACUAAGAUAAUUCAUAUUAAAAGAUAAUUAUUAUAUGAUUAAAAAUCAUAAUAUUAUUCUUUAACAAUAAUAAAAUUCUCAUCACUUUUUCAUUUGAUUGUUUAGAACCAUGCUCAAUCAAUGGUUUCGAUUGCACGGAUCGAUAGUGUAAUUUUGAGUCCAAAUAGAAACACAUAAAAAGAUUGAAAAUGCAUUUUUAUACUCUAGGGAGAAGCGGAGCUAGUAAUUUACAACAAUGGGAUCAAAAAUAACUUUAAAAAAUCGAUCACACUUUCAUUUAAAAAUAGCUUCCAAAUUGAAAACACAUCACCCAUCUCACUCAAAUGAAAGAACAAAUAGAGAUUAAAAAAAUACAUAACAAAUUUCUCUCUAAAAAAUUAGCACCAAUAUGAGUAAUUGCUAGGGCACCCUGCGGAGAGCACUAAAGCAGCAACUGCUGCCUUUUAAAUGAUGCCCCAUGUUUUUCACACUCUCUCUGUCUGGUUCUCUCUUUCAAAAUGGUAGACCCGACUGCUCUCUUAUUAAAAUGAGAGAGCUGAAUCCUCUCCGAUCAAAGGGUAUGGCAAACAGGUGAUAUAUGUAUUACAACAAAUCAACAUAAAUUAAUAGAGAAAUAUAAAGGAAAUGCAGAGUCUUUGAGGACUGAUUCUCUGGAUUUUAUGUCUUUCCUUUCAACUUUUGUCUAUAAAUAAACACACACACAAACACCCCAACUACUACCUCCACUACCACCCCACAGCUUUAUCUAAGCUGACCUCGUGCAACCCUUUUGCAAUUUUGUAUCAAACAGUUCAGAUUUCAACCUUCAAUGGCGGAUGAGGUGGUUUUGUUGGAUUCCUGGCAAAGCCCAUUUGGGAUGAGGCUAAGGAUUGCUCUGGCUGAGAAGGGCAUCGAGUAUGAGUACAAAGAUGAGGACUUGUGGAACAAGAGCCCACUGUUGCUGCAGAUGAACCCGGUUCACAAGAAGAUCCCGGUUCUCAUUCACAAUGAAAAACCGAUCUGUGAGUCCCUAUUUGCACUUCAGUACAUUGAUGAGGUUUGGAAUGAUAGGGCUCCACUCUUGCCCUCUGACUCUUACCUCAGAGCCCAGGCCAGAUUCUGGGCUGACUUCGUCGACAAGAAGAAGGUGAUAUUUACUCAUUAUUUCACUUAUUUGCAAUUUUUUUUAAUAUGUUUGGUUUAAACAAUUGAACAAUGGUGUUUUGGAUCUAUGUUCAGCGUUAAUAUCAAGGUAAAUUAUAUUUCAUCCUGAUAUUACAACCUUAUAUAAUAUCUUUAAAAUAUUUCAGUUUUCUACUUAUUAUAUUUUUUUUAAUUUCACACAAACGUUGAAAAAUCUAUUAAGUUAGCCGUUAAGUGAUGACGUGAUAUCUGUGAUUUCACAUUGACGUUGAUGUUGCUCUCUUAAAAAAAUUAAAAUUAAUUAAAGAUUAUAAAUUAAAGAUUUUUUUUAACUAAACAAAACUAAAGUUAAAAAAAAUAAAAGAAAUUAGGUUGUCAUUCUUAUUUUUUCUUCUUCAUUAAUUAAAAUCUUAUUUCUUUUAAAAUGUUUAGGUUUUAAUGAAUGUCAUUAAUUAUUUAAUAAUAAAUUAUUUACAUAUUAGCAUAAUUGAAUUAGAUUUCUCAAAUAUAUUAAUUUAGUGUUAGAAACGUUACAUUUUGUAUAUUUAUAUUUAUGACUAUACUUUGUAUCAUAUAUUUUUAUUUUUAGUUUGUACCAAAUUAUAAUUUGCAACUAUUUUUUAAAUUUGUACCCACAUAUUAAUUUCUUUUAUUGCCCUUUUCUUUAAAAAAAUUAUUGGUAGUCUAGUUUUUUUUAUUUUUUUAUUAUUGUACCUAUUCUUUUUUAUAAUGUUCCACUUUUUUAUAUGUAAAAUGUACCUUUUUUUUUUUUUUUUUAUAAUUUUUUAUUGUACCUGUUCUUUUUUAUAAUGUUCUACUUUUUUAUACGUAAAAUGUACCUUUUUUUGUUUUAUUUUAUUUUUUUGUAAAUGUACCAUUUUUUAUGUAAAAUGAACCCUUUUUUUUAAUGUAAAGUUUAUAAAUGUACACCUUUUUCAAUUUCAAAUGUAUCCUUAUUUAAAAAUAUAAAAAAACAUUUUAUUUUGUGAAAAAACUAAAAAAAUCUGAUAAGUGUAAGAUGAAUUAUUAAUCUUUGUAAGAUUAUAGGGAAAACUUAAUACCAAAAUUUAAUAUUUUGUCUUUCAAUCAAAAUAUUCAAAUUAGUAAUUUUUAGUCUAAGAUUUUGGUAUGAUAAAAUUUCAAUCAAAAUAAUGUAUCCAUGUGAAUUUUUUAACAGGAUGGAUAAAUGAUUUUGCUAUUUAUUAUUUAAUAUUAUUACACUGUUUUUAUUUAUUUAUUCAAAAAAAAAAAAUUAUUGUAGCCGUUUCAUAUUAUUACAUUGUAAUAUAAUGAGGGACUUUAUAUCUAGGACUUAUAUGCCACAUAUACACACACACACACAUACACAAAAUAUGGGAUUAUAAAUCUCAUAAGUGUCAAACAUAUAAAAUAUACAUAUUAAUAUUAAUAUAAUGAGGUUUUCAAAGUCAAGGAUGUUUAAUAAAAAAUUGAAUACUCUUAAGGUUUUAGUUAAAAAGUGUUAGGCCAUCUCCAACCGAUGGCUGGCUAGAGGGCUCGUUUUAGCCCUCUGGCCUUCCAAGAUUCUCUAAGAUAUUAAUAUUUUAAUGAACAGUACAGGGCCAUAUUUGCCUCCGUCUCCAACCGAGGGCCAGAGGGCUCGUUUUAGCCCUGUCACAAAAAACCGUCUCCAACCGAGGGCCAAAGGGCUAUAGGGUCAAACAUAAUUUAUUAUUUUAAAACUACAAUUUAAUGUUGUAUAAAUGGCCUAGGAAGUUAUACGAAAAAAAUAGAAUUGAAAAAAAAUAUGAAACAAAUUUUGUGAAAUAGAAGUUAUAGGAAAAAAAAUAUGAAACAAAAUUUGAUUCAUAUGAAAAUGAAAAAAAAAAGGGAAAAAAAGAAGUUUAAAUUCAUUAAAAAGGGAAAAAAAGAAGUUUAAAUUCAUUAAAAAAAAAAAAAAAAAAAAAAGAGGCCUAAUAAUCCAACGACUACUAGCCGUUAUAUUCAAAAGCAUUUCAAACUAUUAGUGUCGGUUAUAACCGACACUAAUAGUAGAACUAUUAAAAAAAAAAAGAAUACCUGUAAUGCUGUCGGUUAUAACCGACAGCAAUAGGAAAUCAUUAAAAAAAAAAAUAGCCAGCCCGGGGCUGGCUGGCUGGCCGAAAGCAGCCAGCCCUCCAGCCCUCUCCGAUCCCGUGGGGUCCUCCCAGAUUCCAGAGCCCUCUGGCCUAGCCCUCGGUUGGAGACGGUUUUAGGGCUAUUUUCGGCCCUCUGGCCCUCUGGACCCUUCGGUUGGAGAUGGCCUUAGUGACUAGGGAUCGAAUAUAAAGUCUCUUGAUAAAAAAUAAUUCUUUCUCCAACCACAGAGAUUUCAUUGUUGAACCUAAAUCCAGAACUCCACGAGUAUGGAGAUCCAUCAAAACAGAAGGGCAUCGUCUAAUUUAAUCUCGGAGUGGGUGAGAGAACAGACGGCGAGUCCGGGUUCGACUGGUUUCGGGUUUCAGUUUAGGGUUUGUGAUGUAUAUAUUAGAAAUAUAUAAGUAGAGGAUCUGAACUUGCUCAAGAUAAUGUACAUUAAUUUUCCUGGAAUUUUGGGGAUGUGAAAUGCAGAUAUUUCAGAUUGGGAAGAAGGUGUGGACAACCAAAGGAGAAAAACAGGAUGCAGCAAAAAAAAAAUUUCUCGACUGCAUAGGCGUGUUAGAAGGAGAGCUUGGAGACAAGCCUUUCUUUGGGGGGGAUACCCUCGGAUUCGUGGACGUGACCCUUAUUCCAAUCUAUAGCUGGUUUCUUGUGUGUGAGAAAUUUGGCGACUUCAGUGUUGAGGCUGAGCACCCAAAAUUUAUUGCCUGGGUUAAGAGGUGCAUGGAGAAGGAGAGCGUGUCCAAGUCGCUUCCCGAGCAGGAAAAGGUCUAUGAUUACGCCAUGCUUAUCAGGAAAAAGCUUCGAAUUGAGUAGAUAUUGGUGGAAGCCUGGCAAGAAGCUAUUGAUGAUGAUCAGUGUCAUUCCAACUUGUUAGGUCAUUUGGUUUUCCUGUGAAUCUGUUUUGGGUUGUUGAAUAAGAAUAAAAGGGCACUUGACAAAGCCUUCUAUUGUAUGAGGCACUUCAUUGUGCCUCUGGUCAUAUGUUUGUUUUGCUUUUGUAGUCAACUUAUCACACUGUUGUCAACUUGUUAUGUAAGGGAUCUAAAUCUACUUGAUCAAAUUUCUUGUUUUGUAACCACUUCAUAGUCAAUGAUGGAUUAUUGGUCGUCACCUCCGACUCCGCAAUUUCAUUUAGUGGUCGGAAUCAUAUCUUGUUUGGAUUUUGUGGAGUGGUAUGGGAUUCGUCUUACUCCAUAAUUUCAUUGAGUGGUCCAUAAUUGUAUCAUGUUUGGUUCCGUUGAGUAGUCUUGAACCUGAUCUUUGUUACAUUUCGUUGAGUGGUCUGAAGUUGCACCCUCGUCUUCAUUGGUCCAUUGAUUCCUUGAAAGUGGCCUAAGCUCAGGAAAUGUAGGCUUCGGUUAAACUGUGUCACUCUAGCCCUAGUUUUUAUUGCAUUUAUGAAACAUAGAUUUGUGAACUUUUGUGGUUGGUUUUAGAAAGGCUGACGGAUGUCUGUGCGACUCAUUCGGGUUUUCAACGAAUAGUUUUAUGAUUUUAUAAACAAUGAUUUUAUGAUUGAUGUUUACUAAUUAUGUUCGAUAGAUUAUCACACGUCGGAUUAUUGUCGCUCACACGAGCUUCGUAGCUGCUGGGUUGUUGAUUUUCCCGGUACAUCAUUUCCAUGGUGUAGGGGGCGAUUUUGCAAGUGGCCGAGCUUCGCUACGAGGAGCUUUGGGGUAGCAGUCAGAGGUCAAGAGCUUAGAGUGCUUAAGUUACCCCUAUAUCUUUCUUGUAUUUCUUGGACUUUCUUUGUGGGUUACUUGCUUUCGUUAUAGAGUUGUUGUAAUCAUUUGUGGCAGAACUCACCAUUUUAUUAAAUAUUGUUAAUUCCAUAUUAGUAUUUCUUGUUUGUAUUCCCUGCACCUCCUGCAGUAAACCGUCGCGUGUCAAUCCUAGACAUAUGCUGUCAGUGACCAACUUACAACAUUAGCGAUCGAAAAGUAUUUUAUGGGAAAGCGCUCGGCUUAAUUGCUAAUAGAGGGUCUGAAGGCCAUAGGCUCUUAAAGCGCUCGGAUUCGUUGUUUCAAGUUCAUUAGGCGCAAGACGGUGGAUGAUGGUGGUGGUCAGGGACGGAGUUAGAAAUUUCUUCUAGUGGGGGCAACCCGAAAAUCAACUAAGAAACUUUAUUAUAGUAUGGCUUAUACCUAAUAUGAUAAUAGAGAUGAUUUCAAAUGAUAAUGCAUCACAAUUCCAAUGUUAUAAAAAAAUUCAAUGUAGUAGUGGAAAGUGGCAAAGUCAUAAGAAAAAUAUUAAUACAUGAUUACACGGGAGAGAUUUUUUAAGUUUGAAUGACAGAACAAGAACACUUUUGCUCUUAUAAUAUUUAAUAUGGAGUAUAUGCAGUAUGAAGGUGUUGAAUAUUAGAUACAUAUAUUGUCUUCAAAGAUAACACGUGUGUAUUAUAUAAUUGUAGUCUACAACUUAACAAACGAAUCACUUGAGUGAGGGCAUAUGCCCCCAGUGAGCCUUCAUUGGCUCCGUCUAUGGUGAUGGUGAGGUUAUGGGUCAUAAACAAUAAAAUAUUUACCCAAAAAUUGAAUAAUUUCAAGAUUUUGAUGUCGAAAACGGUGACAUAAUAAAAUCCAAUUAUCGACUAUAAAAAAUAAAAAAUAAAAUCCAAAUAGAAUGAUCUCGAAUAGGGCUGGGCAAACGGGUCCUGGACCCGCGGGUAGGGGCGGGUAAUACGGGUACGGGCCGGUUCUUAGUUUUGUAAAAAUAGAAAGGGGCGGGGCGGGGCGGGUAAUUUAAGUUUUAGGGGCGGGCCGGUUCCAAAAUUAUAGGAUCCGCGGGUACCCGGACCGGCCCGUUUGUGUUAGAUUGGACGGACGAGAUUUAAUAUCAUCUCUCCAUCCAAUCUCAACCGUCGGUUUAAGUUUUCUACUUUCAACCCUAGCCAACUUCCCUGUGUCCCGACCGAGUUCCAGAAGCAUCCAACCUCAGCAACCUCAGACCUCAGUCUCUCGGAUUCUCAAAGACUCUCCUUCCUCGACUCCCUCUCCCUGAGUCCCUCUCCCUAUCCCUCUCCCUCGAAUCCCUUUCCCUAUCCCUUCCCUCGACUCCGACUCACAAUGCUCACCCCACCACUCUCACAGCGCUGUCGCGAGUCGCGACCAACAUCAUCACCCCCCAUCACCACCUCCGCCGUCGCAACCACCAUCAUCACCCCAUCACCACCGUCGAGGACACUGCUACUACUAAUACCAAGGCAAGUACCAACCAUCAUCCCUCUAAAAUUGACUAUUAAUAUGAAUUUCUGGUGUAGGGAUUUUUAGGGGUUUUAAGUUAGAAUUUGUAGAUCGAUGAUUGAGCUAUAAAAAAAUAUUCUCAAAGAUCUUGUUUUUGGGUCUCCACAAUGCCGGAAAAACGAUGUUGCUUCAUAUGCUCAAAGAUGAGGUUUUUCUUUCAAUCUCAUCCUUUUAAUCGGACUUUUUCUAAAUUUGUUGGUGGGUUUUUGGUCCUUUCGAAUUCGGUGAAAUUUGGGAAUUUUCAAUGCUUCAAUGGUGUUUUUAAUUGGUAUUUGGUUUAUGCUGAAAUUUUCGUUUUUGUUUUACAUUUAAUCAAUUCGGGGUCUGUUUGGUUGAUGAGAAAGUGAAGAAAAAGAAAAUAUGGGCUGAAGGAACAGUUUUUUUGAGAGUGUAGUUUUUAAUUGUGCAAUUGAAAAUCUUUUUUCUUUUCUUUUGUGUAAUUCCUAUGGGUUUUUUUUUUCAUUAGAUUUUCUGCUCCCAAUCCAAUAUAAGUAUUGAGUUUAAAGAUGAUAUUGAAUCACUCAAGUUUUAAUAUCAGGAAGAAGAAGAAGAAAUGAAUAAAGCAAUUUGCUCUUGGAAUUGUUUUGAUUCUGUUUGAUAAUUACUUGAUUAGCAUAGAAUUUAGUUUUCUGCUUCUGGGUUUUGUUGAUGAUGCAUUGUUGCAGAGGUUAGUUCAACACCAGCCGAGAGUUGAGCAUUGGUAAAAUCAAGUUCAAGGCUUUUGAUUUGGGUGGACAUCUCAGAUACUCAUCUCAGAUAUCUAUCUUAUUCAAUAGUUUUGUCGUAGUUCAUUCGAAAUAACUGAAUGGGUUCACAAAGGACGCACUGCUGUAAGAUGAUUUAACCUUUCCUUUGUUGUUCUUUAUUUACUUUUUGGUCAUGCCUAGUAAGCUAUGAGCUAUACCAUGUACAUACAUUAGACUUGAAUUUUGUUUGACUGUAAACGAUGUAUCAUGCAUCCCCAUAAAGAGUGUAUUGUCAUCAAGUUAAUUUAUAGCAGUAAAGUCUGUCAUAUGUGCUCAAUAAAUGCGUUUUGGAAUUUCAUUGUAUCUAGAUACUCUUUGUUGAUGAUCUUUAUACAUAUCUGGGAGCAGCCACAUCCUUUAUUCCUUUUUCCUUUUCAACUCUACCUGGAGCAGAAGGUUUAAAACUGCAUUAAAUUGCAAUCACUAUGUUAGUUUGGUUAGAUUGUGAAUUGUUCCUUUUUUCCGUUUUCCUGGGAUAAAUUGAAAACUGAAAUGCGAGGCCACUGCUAUAUCUUAGUCAUAAUCGAAGCCAACUUCUUGGUUCUUGCUGGUAUUUGCUUAGAUUUCACAUGAGUAACGGUUUAAUCACUAUGUUAGAUGGCGUCCUGUUUUCUUCAAACUUGUAUGAUUUUCCUUGCUGUUUGCAAAAUGCUGUUUCAAUGAUACGUUGCUAAAACUACCUUAUUGGUCCUUGGGCCCCUUAUUUAAAAAUGGCAUCAUUGUUGCAGAACUUCCUCAACGGCCUUUGUUAGAGAACCUUGCAAGGGAGCUCCGCCAACGAUUGGUAACCUCUCUCUCUCUCUCUCUCUCGUUGUGCAAUGGUAGAAGUUAAGAAUCGACUUUUUCUAGGGCCUUCGGCUAUUCAAUGUUGAUAUGAUUCGAGAGCAUGGGACAAAGGAUGUUUUUUAUGUCAUUGACAUAAACUACUUUAUGAUAAAAUCACUAGGUACAAAACAUUUAUAUAGUAAAAACAGAUUGCAAUCUGCACAAACUGCACUGCACAGAUUGCAAUCUGCACAACAAACUGCACUGCACUGCACAGAUUGCAAUCUGCACAAUCUGCACAAACUGCACUGCACUGCACAGAUUGCAAUUUGCACAAACUGCACUGCACAGAUUGCAAUCUGCACAACAAACUGCACUGCACUGCACAUAUUGCAAUCUGCACAAUCUGCACAAACUGCAUUGCACUGCACUGCACAGAUUGCAAUCUGCACAAAUUGCAAUGCACUGAUUGCAAACUGCACAAACUGCACAGAUUGCAAACUGCAUUGCACAGAUUUGCACAGAUUGCAACUGCACAGUCACACACUGCACAAAUUAAUAACAUGAUGAUACCUCUCAGCCUUUUUGGUCUUUUGUCGGUCAACAAUCUGUGUGUUGUGUGUUCACUCUGUUUAAUUGUGCUACCUGCUUCUGUUUCCCAUCCCAGAGAGUAAUUAUUUCGAAAUAUCUUUAUUUGAUUAAUGAAUAUAGUUCCAUUAUUUGAUUUUUGCAGAUUUUUACAUAAUGUCUCAAUCUCAAAGUCAAAGUACCCCUAGUAGUACUAAUGUAGCAUCAUCUACGGCUACAUCACCAUGUCCUCCACAACCAACACAAGCACAACCCAUACAGUCAAAACCAUCAAUGCCUCCCCCAAACCCCUCAUCCUCUAGAAAAAGAAAAGCACCACCUAUUCCAAAGACAAAACAACCAACUAUAAUAGCUUCACUAGAGAGAUCUUCUUCUGAGAGAUCUUGGGUUUGGGAUCAUUUCACUAAGUGUACGGUCUCGGAAAUGCAAGAAGUAGAAAAGGAUGGAAAGAAAGAGAAGGGGGAGGUACAAGUAUUGAAGGCUACGUGUAACCAUUGUAACUCUUUUUUUGCAUGUGAUACUAGUGGGGGUGGAACUAGUACUUACAUUAAACAUCUCAAUAAACAUUGCAAGUCAUAUAAACCAACUGAUGAGUUGCAAAAGGUUCUAGGCAGUUCUGGACCUUCUGGGGAUGGGAAUGUCAAAAACAUGCUUGUUGCUAAAGGGUUGAGCCAAGAAGAAAGUGUGGAAGGUAUUAUUGAGUUUAUUGUGCUCGAAGAGAUACCUUUUAGUAUUGUGGAGAGUGAAGGGUUUAGGCGGAUGAUGUGCAAAGUCCAGCCUAGAUUGCAUGUUCCAUCUCGGAGAACUAUGAUGAGGGAGUUAUUCAAUAUGUAUGAUAGCAUGAAAGAUCAGUUAAAAAAGGAGAUACACAAUCAUAGAGUGAGCUUGACUACUGAUACAUGGACAAGUGUGCAAAACUUGAACUACAUGGUGCUAACUGCUCAUUUUGUGGAUGAUGAUUGGAAUAUGCACAAAAGGAUUCUAAACUUUUGUUUGAUUUCAAGUCAUCAAGGCAAAGAAAUAGGGAAGAUGAUUGAGCAAUGUUUGGUUGAGUGGGGGAUUGAAAAGGUAAUGUGCAUCUCAGUUGACAAUGCAUCGGCUAAUAAGGUGGCAAUUGAGUAUGUUGUUCGUAAAAUGAAGAAAUGGCCUAAUAGUAAAAUGAUUAUGAAUGGCAAGUUUAUGCAUGUGAGGUGCUUAGCUCAUAUUAUCAACUUAGUAGUGAAACAUGGGUUGAAAAGGUUAGAUACAAGUGUGGAUGCUUUUAGAAAUGCCGUGCGGUUUGUGAGGUCAAGUCCUCGAAGGUUAAGUUAUUUCAAGAAAUGUGUGGAGAGUGAGAAGUUGGAUAGUAAGGGUCUAGUUGUUAUGGAUGUGCCUACUAGGUGGAAUAGCACAUACAUGAUGCUAGAAUCUUGCUUGAAGUUUCAAAAAGCAUUUGAAAGGAUGAUCGAAGAUGAUGAAGCCAAUAUAUACACCACCUAUUUCAGUGAAAAGGUGCUUAAUGAUGAAGGAGAAGAAGUGGCGGGUAAAGGGAGGGUUGGACCACCUAAGGAGGAAGAUUGGGAUAGUGCAGAAGUGUUUGUGAAAUUUUUGAAGGCUUUCUAUCUUAUAACUUUGAAAGUUAGUGCAAGUAAGUAUCCCACAUCUAAUACAGCUGUUCAUGAUGUCAUUGUUGUGGAAAACGAGAUUGAAAAGCUUUUUUUGCCUGAAUAUAUGCAAACUGGAAAACCGGUAGAGUUGGUGCUACGUGAUAUGGCAUUCAACAUGAGAGCCAAAUAUCGAAAGUAUUUUGGUUCAAUUGAGUCCCUUAACCAAAUAUUUGUAGUUGCCCUUGUCUUAGACCCAAGGUUCAAAUUGAGGCACUACAUGCACUUGUGCCGAAAGCAGUUACAACUUCCUGAAGAAGAGAUUGAACAGAAAAGUAAUGAAGUGAAGACAUUGUUGAAGGCGAUGUGUGAUGAAUAUGCUUUCCAAGUUUUCGGUUCACAAACACAACAAAAGGGUAGAGAAGAUUUAGUUCUUGACACUUCUUCUUCAAGGGUAAAACAAUCAUCUUCUAGUGUGCCAACGGAAAAUCCAAUGAUAUUUAAUCAAAUCAUGGAUGAUUGGGAGAAGGAACUAGAAGACACCGAGGAUAUUGUGCUUGCACAUGAGGUGGAUAGGUAUCUCCUCGACACUGUAGAGAAAGUACCACAAGGUUCACAAUUUGACGUUUUGAAAUGGUGGAAGUUGAAGGGGAGGAGCACAUAUCCCACACUUGCUUUGAUAGCAAAAGAUGUCUUGCCAAUUCAAGUGUCAACAGUUGCCAGUGAGAGUGCAUUUAGUGCAGGAAAAAGAGUAAUUCACCCUUGUAGAUCAUGUCUCAUUCCUCAAACAGUGGAGUCAUUGAUGUGCCUCCGAAAUUGGAUAAGAAGUGAACCAAUUGGCAGCAUUGAGUAUGAAGCAAGUCAUGCGGAGCUUGAAUUUUAUCAAGAGUGUGAAGAAGGUAACUAUUUUGUUUUUAAUAGUUUGGUUUAUAACUUUAUAUUAAUUGGUUUACAAUUAACGUUUGUUCUUUAUUGUAGAAUAUAAAAGAAAAAGAGCAAAUACUAUCUCUACAAGUUCAACCAUCUCACCAAGUGUUCCAAGUGUUCCUGAAACUCCUCAAACGAAUAAAGGAAAAGGAAUUGUGGUAAUAUUUUAAACUCAAAUGAAUGAACUUUAAAUUUCAAUGAGGAUAAUAUGAUAUUGGACUUUAAAAAUGUCAUGUUUAUAUUGUAUUUUUGCUUACAGAUUCAAUGAGGAUUGUUGUCGGAACUUGGGCGUUGGAAUUUGAAAUUUAUUGCGGAUGUGUGCAAUCUGUGAAAUCUGUGUAUGUGCAAACUGCAAUCUGUGAAAUCUGUGUCUAUGCAAACUGCAAUCUGUAUUCUGUGCAAUUUUUUUCAAACUGCAAUCUAUGCUUUUUUUUUUCAAUCUGUGCAAUCUGUGCACUGCAAAAUGCAAACUGCAAUCUGUGCAGUUUUUUCAAACUGCAAUUUGUGGAAUCUGUAAUUUGUGGAAUCUGUUCUGUGCAGUUUUUUCAAACUGCAAUUUGUGGAAUGUGGUAUCUGUGAAAUCUGUGAAAAUCUGUGAAAUUUGUGAAAUCUGUGAAAUUUGUUUUAUGCAGUUUUUUUUCAAUCUGUACAAUUUGUGCAGUUUUUUUCAAACUGCAAUCUGUGCAAUAAAAAACUGCAAUCUGUGCAGUAAAAAACUGCAAUCUGCAAUCUGUGAAAUUUGUGGAAUCUGUGAAAUCUGUGAAAAUCUGUGAAAUUUGUGAAAUCUGUGAAAUUUGUGGAAUUUGUUUUAUGCAUUUUUUUUCAAUCUGUACAAUUUGUGCAGUUUUUUUCAAACUGCAAUCUAUGCAAUAAAAAACUGCAAUCUGUGCAGUUUUUCAAUCUGUGCAGUAAAAAACUGCAAUCUGCAAUCUGUGCAGUUUUUCAAUCUGUGUAGUUAAAAACUGCAAUCUGUGCAGUAAAAAAACUGCAAUCUGUGCAGUUUGUGAGAAACUGCAAUUUGUGCAGUUUUUUCAAACUGCAAUUUGUGUGCAGGAAACAUUUUUAAACAGGAAAAAAAAAAAAACCUGUGUACCCGGACCGAACCGGCCCGUUUCAACCGGGCCGGGUAAGGUCCGGUUCCUAUUUUCAAAAUUGUAAUGCCCCGGCCCGGCCCGCCCCGUCUCCUUUAAUUACGGGUCCGGUCCGGUCCCUUCAAAAAUGGGCCCGGCCCGGCCCGUGCCCAGCCCUAAUCUCGAAUGUGUCCACCAAGGAAGAAAAAUAGAAUAUCUCCAUUCUGCUGUCCGUUGACUACUGCCCCUUUAGUUUUCCCUCUCAACAUUUGUCUAUAAAUACGCACACACACCAGCCACUACUACCUCCUCCACCAACCACAGCUUCAUAUCUAAGCUAACCUUCUACAACCCUUUUGCAAAUUUGUAUCAAACAAUUUAGAUUUCAUUAAUUUACUUAUUUGUAGGAUUAUUUUUGUUUUGAAACAAUUGAACAAUGUUGUUUUAGAAUUUUAAGAUUAUAAGUGCUUAGGGUGUAAUGAUUUUACUACUUAGGAUUUGCAUUAGAAGGAAAAUUAAAUGGAAACUGGAUCUCUGUUUAUGUUUUCGGGGUUAAUAUUAUGUUCGCUUUUAAAACAUAGUUGAUUAAGAUUUCAUGUCACGGUUUCGGGUUUAAGGUUUGUGAUGUAUAUUUAGAAAGAUAUAAGCAGAAGGUCUGAACUUGCUCAAAACAAUGUAUAUUAAUUUUCCUGUUUUUUUGGGAUGUGAAAUGCAGAUAUAUGAUAUUGGGAGGAAGCUGUGGACAACCAAAGGAGAAGAACAGGAUGCAGCAAACAAAGAAUUUGUUAAAGGAACAGAAAUCACUCAAUCUGUACAAGGUGGAUAGCAGGAAUGUAGCAUGUGGAUGCACAUUCCUGGACAGUUUGGACAGCUGCAUGAGGAUACCAAAAUCCUUGUCAGAAAAGGUUUGCACAUGGUGGAUGCACAACAUGGACGUGUCAGUUACAUCAUGGGCAGCAAGGAUGCAGCAAGGAUGCCCAUUCCCUUUUAUAUUUAAUUAUUGCAUGCGUGCUAUCAUUGUAUGUAUAUAUAUAUUAGCUCUUUUCAUUUAGGACAGAUUUGAAUAAUAAGAGCAUUCUUCCAUUCCAAUUUCAUAUGGUAUCAGAGCACCUUCCUGGUGCCUGAAACGCUUCCGCUCAAUCUCGUUAUUCAUCAUGAGUGACGAAGAAACUCCUAAACACAAACCACAACUCACAACAACAAUGGACAUCACUGAUCCAUUCUACAUCCAUCACUCGGAUCACCCGAGUCUACACCUUGUUUCCAAACCACUAGAUGGUGACAAUUAUUCCACAUGGAGUCGUGCAAUGACAAUCAGCCUCAGCGCCAAGAACAAGCUCGGUUUUGUGGAUGGUUCAAUAGAAGCCCCGCCAAAAACCGACGCCAAAUAUUCCCUUUGGAAACGGUGCAAUGAUAUGGUUCUCUCAUGGGUCGUUAGUUCUGUUGGUAAUGAUUUGAUGAGCAGCGUCCUAUACACGGAUUCACCUUCUGAGAUAUGGGAGGAUUUGAAGGAACGUUUCUCGCAAGGAAAUGUUUCUCGCAUUUUUCAAAUUAAAAGAGAGAUCAUUGAACAUCGACAGCGUCAACAGUCCAUAUCGGCAUACUAUACUAAACUCAAAGGACUUGGGAUGAACUAGCGUCCUACAAUACAAUUCCAGCCUGCACAUGUGGAACGAUGAAAGCGAUCAAUGAAAGAGAACAACAGGAACAGGUUAUUCAAUUUCUCAUGGGACUGGAUGACUCUUAUUCGGCUGUUCGUGGACAAAUCCUCUUAAUGCAGCCACUACCAAACAUUCGUAAGGUAUAUUCUUUGACUUUACAAGAAGAAAAACAAAGAGAGGUGGCAGAAGGUGGUGAAAGUAACACUACACAUGCCAUGCACGUAUCCAAGACCACCUGGAAUAAGUCUCGCAAACCGAACAAUGGUGGCAAGACAAACACUGGUAAGGUUUUUCAUUGUACUUACUGCGAUGGAAAUACCCAUACAGUUGAUUACUGUUUCUACCUUCAUGGCUUUCCUCCUGGCCACAAGUUUCACGGGAAGGACGUAAAGCCUCCAAACAAAACCAGGCGCGCAGCAGCCAAUAAUGCCCACAAAGAAGAAGCCAAGUCGAGCACUACCAAAGAACCUGUUGAUUUGAAAUUCACAGUGGACGAGAUCAACCAAAUCAAAGCUAUUCUUCGUGGUGAUAGUAAAAACCAGGUUUUUGCAAAUGCAGCAGGUAUACCUAAUGCACGAUGCUAUUCUUUUUCCACAAACAAUCCAGAUUCUUGGAUUAUUGACAGUGGUGCUACAGAUCACAUCUCUUCUUCUUUCAAUUUAAACGACAAAAGGAGCCCACAUUCUUCCUCCGUCAAUUUACCAAAUGGGUCACAAGCACAAAUUUCUUGCCUUGGUUCACUCAAACUCACUCCAAAUUUAGACCUAAAAGAUGUCCUUUGUGUCCCUGGUUUUCGAGUUAACCUGAUGUCAGUUAGCAAAGCUACUCGGGGAUUAAAUUGUUUGAUCAUUUUCUUCCCUACUUUUUGUCUCUUACAGGAUUUGGCAACGAAGAAGAUGAUUGGAUUGGGGAAGGAGCGUGAUGGCCUGUAUUACCUAGUCCCAGUCCAAGAAGACUUCGCCCUUCGACAGACUAAGCCUGGGGUUGUUGCUGCUUCUGCAUCCGCACCAUCCAACGUCUGGCACCAACGCCUUGGACAUCUUUCCACUGGUCCAGCCCGUGUUUUAUCUAGUUCCAUUCCUGAUAUUUCUUUUAAUUUUGAUUCUCAUUGUGAUGUUUGUCCAGUAGCCAAACAAACAAGGUUACCUUUUCCCUUAAGUUCUACUUCUAGUCUACAACCUUUCGAGUUAAUACAUUGUGAUAUUUGGGGUCCGCAUCGUUUGCCCUCUUCAUCAGGUGCUAGAUACUUCUUAACUAUUGUUGACGAUUACUCCCGAUUUACUUGGCUUUUUCUCAUGAAUUUAAAAUCUGAAACACAAGAGAAAAUCAAACUGUUUUUUGCUUAUGUCAACACUCAAUUUCAGCGUCAAGUUAAACAAGUAUGCACUGAUAAUGGUGCAGAAUUCCUAUCCAUGCGUUCAUUCUUUGCCAACUCAGGAACUGUUUUCCAACAUACUUGUCCACACACACCUCAACAAAAUGGGGUGGUGGAGCGUAAACAUCGGCAUCUCCUUAAUGUAGGUCGUGCACUUCGUUUUCAAGCAAAUCUUCCCCUCAAAUUUUGGGGAGAAAGUCUUCUCACUGCCACUUAUCUCAUCAAUCGCACACCCACCAUCGUUUUAUCAAAAAAAACACCCUAUGAAAUGCUCUACACACGCUCACCCACUUAUAUGCACUUACGGGUUUUUGGUUGCCUUUGCUAUGCUACACACACCUCCCCUAAACACAAGUUUGGUGUCAGGGCUCACAAAUGUCUCUUUGUUGGUUAUCCUUCUGGACAAAAGGGGUAUCGUCUCUACAAUCUUCACACUCAUCAAUUUUUUACUAGCCGUGAUGUGGUUUUUCAUGAACACAUCUUUCCUUUUACUCAUCAUCCUCCCGACACCCAACCUGAUGAAGUUGUGCCCGUCGUUCAUCUUCCCCUCACCGACACCAUCUCAGAUUCUUCCACCUUUUCACAAGAACCCUCAUCUCCCACCAUCUCUAGUCCAACCGCUUCUCCUCCUUCACCUGCCGUCCCUUUUCCACCAUCACCUGUGUCGCCCCUAUCCUCUCUUCCUUCUCCACGCCCUGUCAACUCUAUCUCACCACCACCUUCCCUUGGUCGCGGCCUCCGCCCCAAGCAACCUUCUGUCUUAUUGAAGGAUUAUGACUGUUCACAGGUCACCACGUCGCCUUCCACGUCCACGUCUUCUUCGCGGUCAGGUACUCACUAUCUCCUCUCUCAUUAUCUCUCUUCUUCCCAUUUAUCACCAUCUCACCAAGUGUUUAUCAAUACCAUCACUCGUAGCGUCGAACCUACUUCUUUUGCCCAGGCCAACCUUGAUCCUCGUUGGCAAGCUGCCAUGCAGUCUGAACUUGCUGCACUUGAACAAAACCAUACCUGGACACUCACUUCCCUGCCUCCUGGCAAACGUGCUAUCGGCAGCAAGUGGGUUUACAAGAUCAAACAUCGCUCUGAUGGCUCCAUAGAGCGCUAUAAAGCGCGUUUGGUUGUCAAAGGUUACACGCAAAUUGAAGGCCUAGACUAUUCUGAAACAUUUGCACCGGUGGCCAAACUUACCACUGUUCGUUGUUUAUUAGCCGUGGCUGCUCAACGCCACUGGCCCCUCCACCAGCUCGAUGUCCAGAAUGCUUUUCUCCAUGGUGAUUUGGACGAAGAAGUUUUCAUGUCUCCACCUCCUGGACUUCGUCGACAAGGGGAGAACUUGGUUUGUCGACUCCAUAAAUCCCUCUAUGGCUUGAAGCAGGCUUCCCGUCAAUGGUUUUCAAAAUUUUCUCAAGCCAUUCAACUCGUGGGGUUCAAACAAUCAACUGCAGACUACUCAUUGUUCACCUGCACUACUGCCCAUUCCAUUACAGUGGUUCUCAUCUAUGUUGAUGACAUGAUCAUUACAGGGAACAACCAUGAGGCUAUUCAACGUUUAAAACAAUUUCUUCAUCAUCAGUUUCGCAUUAAGGACCUCGGACAUCUCAAAUAUUUUCUUGGGAUCGAAGUGGCUCGUUCACAACAAGGCAUUUCUAUCUCACAAAGGAAAUAUAUUUUGGACAUACUGGACGAUGCUGGACUAUUAGGGGCAUGUCCGGUGGAUUUUCCCAUGGAACAAGAUUUGAAGUUGAGGCCAACGGAUGGUGAGUUAUUGAAGGAUCCAACCAGAUAUAGAAGGAUCGUGGGACGACUCAUUUACCUCACCAUAACAAGGCCAGAUAUCACAUUUUCUGUCCAAAAUCUUAGCCAGUUCAUGAACCAACCACGCAAGCCUCAUCUUGAAGCUGCUAUACGAGUCUUGAAAUACCUCAAAGGGACUCCAGGACAAGGUCUAUUUUUUCCAUCUACAGAUGCAUUACAAUUGAGUGGUUACUGUGAUGCUUCAUGGGCAUCAUGUCUAACGACUAGAAGGUCCGUGACAGGUUAUUGUGUGUUUUUAGGGAAAUCACUUAUCUCCUGGAAGACUAAAAAACAACAUACGGUUUCACGAUCGUCUGCAGAGGCAGAAUAUAGAUCAAUGGCUGCAAUCACUUGUGAACUUACAUGGCUUCGUUAUCUGUUACAAGAUUUACAGGUCUCCCAUGUAGCUCCAGCUCAUGUUUACUGUGACAAUAAGGCAGCUUUACACAUUGCAGCUAAUCCAGUAUUCCACGAGCGAACUAAACAUAUCGAAUUAGAUUGUCACUUGGUCCGAGAAAAGUUACAUUCAGGAAUGAUUGCAACAAGGUUCACACCUUCAAAGCAUCAGUUGGCCGACAUAUUUACAAAAGCGUUAGGAAAGGCAACGUUUCAUUCUCUUCUCAGCAAGUUGGGCAUCCAAAACAUUCAUGCUCCAACUUGAGGGGGAGUGUUAAAGGAACAGAAAUCACUCAAUCUGUACAAGGUGGAUAGCAGGAAUGUAGCAUGUGGAUGCACAUUCCUGGACAGUUUGGACAGCUGCAUGAGGAUACCAAAAUCCUUGUCAGAAAGGGUUUGCACAUGGUGGAUGCACAACAUGGACGUGUCAGUUACAUCAUGGGCAGCAAGGAUGCAGCAAGGAUGCCCAUUCCCUUUUAUAUUUAAUUAUUGCAUGCGUGCUAUCAUUGUAUGUAUAUAUAUAUUAGCUGUUUUCAUUUAGGACAGAUUUGAAUAAUAAGAGCAUUCUUCCAUUCCAAUUUCAUAGAAUUUCGCGACUGCAUCGACGUGUUAGAAGGAGAGCUCGAAGACAAGCCCUUCUUUGAGGGGGAGACCCUCGGAUUCGUGGACGUGGCGCUUAUUCCAUUCUAUAGCUAGUUUCUUGUGUAUGAAAAAUUUGGCAACUUCAGUGUUGAGACAGAGCACCCAAAGUUUAUUGCCUGGGCCAAGAGGUGCACGGAGAAGGAAAGCGUGUCCAAGUCGCUUCCCGAGCAGGAAAAGGUCUACGAUUUUGUCACACUUAUAAGGAAAAAGUUUGGAAUUGAUAGAUUUUGCUAGCUCAUUUGGUUUUUUCUGUAUUUCAAGAUUCAACCUCUUUUGGGUUGUUGAAAUAGAAUAAAAGGGCACUUGACCAAGCCUUGUACUGUACGAGCACUUUAUUGUGUCUCUGGUCAUAUGUUUAUUUUGCUUCUCUAGUCAAAUUAUUAUACUGUCGUCAACUUAUUAUGGUAAGGAAUCUAAAUCUACUUCAUCAAAUUUCCUAUUUUGUAACCAGUCCAUAUCGAACGGUAAAUUAUUGGUUGUCACCAGUUGCAUUUAAUCAUGAGUUUAUCUCUCUUAUCAAGUGACAAAGAUUCAUAGUUGUAUGCAACCAAUUAUACAGUGAAUUUUCUCCUAUCCAACUUUGACUUAACAUUUUUCAGUCCCAUGAGAGCAUGUGCAGCAGACACAACAAAGGAUCUUACGUGAACAUCUCGACAGAAAACCAAACUGAAAAGGACAUGAACUAAAAGAACGCAUCCUAACAGUCAUCAAAAGAUUUUUUUUUUAACAUCUCAUACACCAUUUUAAGGUCAGCAAGAGAUUUCGACAUGCUCUCCCUCUGCAAGCACCUAUUUGCCCAUGCAAUGAUCUUGGCACUCUGCUUCUAUGCUUAAGUUUCCACAGCUCUCAAAUACAUAAAACCUCUUCCGACUCCGCCAUUGUUGUCUUGACGCACAAACUUCUUGCAGAUGAAUUUGCUUCUUGCCAAUAUCUGACACCUGCGUUUCAGUCUCACUUAUAUUGGCCGAUUCUUAUUUCAUAACCGGUAUGAAAUCAGUCAAUAAUAUCUUCUACAUAUACAUUUUUGUUCCUGUAAUUUGUUUCAUAUUUCAUUUUCGUCCAUACAGUGCACACUUGGUCAACAACUGAUUUGUUCAUUCCUAUACGAACCUACAUCAUGGGAUCCCAUGCACAUAAGUUACGCAUGAAUUGGAUAUAAUCUUGGGCAAUCGGCUACAAUACACAUGUUUUGACAUUUGGUUGCACCAUUGAUUACACUUUCUAAAAUUGCUCUUUUGAUCAAUUUUGCAUGUUAAAAAUUCAUAGUGCUCUUCAUUAAUCAGAAAGGAGGCAAAAAUACAGCGAGGCUCUAAUGACACCGCCAUUUCGAUAUUGAACCACCACUCAGACUAGAACACCACAAUGACACCACAAUUACACUUCAAGAAAAAACAACCAAAACCUUAUUUUCAAAGAACUCCAUUUAACAAAAAGGGACUUACAUUUCAAUUUGAUUUAAACCAAAAUUCUUAGGAUUUUGAACCACCAGUGCAACAAUAACAAUCUGACGACCCACAACGACACUCCAAUGAUACUCCCCAUUUUCUAAUUUGAACUAGCACAACUACAACAACAAUCUGAUGAAGCCACAACGACACUCCAAUGAUACUCCCCUUUUUAUGAUUUUGAACCAACAUAGCCACAACAACAACCUGUUGAUGCCACAACGACACACCCCCAUUUUUUGAUUUCGAACCACCUCAGCCACAACACUUUGUUCAAGGAACCCUCUCCUUCUUCAUUCCCUAACUACCACAACCAAAUUUCAAAUACAAAAAAUAAAAAAAUUGGGCUAAAGCAAGAUGAAAGAAAGAGAGAGAGAGAGAGAGAGAGGAAGAAGAAGAAUGGAUAUGGGAGGUGGAGAAAUAAGAAGCUUACCUCCUUUCAUGGUGUUCCAGAUGAUAUAUACCGCUCCACAUUUGAUUAGUCAAGACAGCGCAAUCGAAGAAUGGAUUUGUGAGUGUUGGUGGUUUUUUAUUUUUAUUUUUUAUCAAUGAAGGACAUGAUGACCAAUGAAAAGAUCAACGAAGGGUAGUGUGGACUUUUCACAGGAAAAAUUGAUCAAAUGAACAAUUUUUUAAGAGUGGUGUUAUGCCCACCCCAAUGUCUUAUCUCCCCAUCCAUCUUAUAUUUACACCCACCAUAAAAAAAGAAAAAAAAAAUAUAAACUCUAUUCCCACCCACCAUUAUUUCCAAAAUAACCCUUGCUUUAAAAAGUAAUUAUAGUUGCCCUAUAAUAUUUUGAGGUCAUAAUUAGAUCUAUCCUCUAACAAAAUCACUAAACUAAAAGCUAGUGACAGUAACUCAUAAGUAAAUAUUACUAUAAAAGCGACCAAGAGUGAUAGUAAAACUUAUGCGAAAUACAUAUUUAUAGUCGAGGUCAGAUCUGCUCCAUGUCAAGGCUCCUUACCGAACUUGACCCAAAUUAGGACAAUAGCACAAAGGUAAAUAACUCAAAAUCAGGGGUAAGUUACACAAACUUACAACCAAGGCCCAAAAUACCCAAAGCAAAACGGGGCCAACCAAACACACCAAAACAAGCCCAACCAAAAGUUGGGACCGAAGAAAACAGAAAACUAGAAACACUGCUGCCGCGGCAGUGCUUGAGACUAUUAUAGUAAUAACUCAAAAGAAUUAAAGUAUGAGCUCGAGGUGGGUCCCGACACAAAGACUCCACCUGCUUGUUCAAUUUCGUCAACCAAAAAUUGAUAUCUUUUCCAGCAAGAAAAUAGAAUCAUUAUAAAACAAUAUAUCGUCCGACUAUUAGAACACGUAUUAUAUUAUAUUAUUACAAAUCAACAUAAAUUAACAACGAAAGCUAGGAAAUGCAGAUUUGAUGUCGAGCGCAGUGACAUAAUCACCAUCCAAUUGGAAGACUCUCGAAUAUCAUCUCCAUGUCCGGAGUCUUUGACGACUGCUUCUCCUCUGCAUUUUCUGUCUAUAACUACGCGAUCUGCUAGUCUGUUUCUACCACCACUACUCACACUCACAAUCGCAGCUUUUUGUAACCUUAGAAACUUUGUUCAAAUCUGAUCAACCUUCAAUGGCGGAUGAGGUGGUGUUGCUGGAUUUCUGGCCAAGCCCAUUUGGGAUGAGACUGAGGAUUGCUCUGGCUGAGAAGGGCAUUGUGUAUGAGUACAAAGAUGAGGAUAUUUGGAACAAGAGCCCACUGUUGCUGCAGAUGAACCCGGUUCACAAGAAGAUCCCGGUUCUCAUUCACAAUGGAAAGCCCGUCUGUGAGUCCCUCAUUGCGCUUCAGUACAUUGAUGAGGUUUGGAAUGAUAAGGCUCCGCUCUUGCCCUCCGACUCUUACCUCAGAGCCCAGGCCAGGUUCUGGGCUGACUUCGUCGACAAGAAGGUGAUUUUUACUCAUUAAUUUACUUACUUAUUUGUAGUAUUUUUGUUUUGUUUUGAAUAUGAAUUAUAAGAUUGUAAUGAUUUUACUACUUAGGGUUUGUAUUAGAAGGAAAAUUAAACGGAAACUGGAUCUCUGUUUAUGUUUUCGGGGUUAAUAGUAUGUUCGCUUUUAAAAUAUAGUUCACUAAGAUUUCAUGUUACGGUUCCGGGUCUAAGGUUUAGGGAUUGUGAAUUUGUGAUGUAUAUAUUAGAAAGAUAUAAGCAGAGGAUCUGAACUUGCUCAAAAUAAUUAUUAAUUUUCUUGGAAUUUUGGGAUGGUGAAAUGCAGAUAUAUGAGAUUGGGAGGAAGCUGUGGACAACCAAAGGAGAAGAACAGGAUGCAGUAAAAAAAGAAUUUCUCGACUGCAUUGGCGUGUUAGAAAGAGAGCUUGGAGACAAGCCUUUCUUUGGGGGGAAUACCCUCGGAUUCGUGGACGUGGCGCUUAUUCCAUACUAUAGCUGGUUUCUUGUGUAUGAGAAAUUUGGCAACUUUAGUGUUGAGGCAGAGCACCCAGAAUUUAUUGCCUGGGUUAAGAGGUGCAUGGAGAAGAAGAGCGUGUCCAAGUCGCUUCCCGAGCAGGAAAAGGUCUACGAUUUUGUUAUGCUUGUAAGGAAAAAGCAUGGAAUUUAGUAGAUUUUGGUGGAAGCCUGCAAGAAGCAAUUGAUGAUCAAUGUCAUUCCAUCUUGUUCGGUCGUAUGGUUGUUCUGUCUUUCAAGAUUCAACUUGUUUUGGGUUGUUGAAUAAGAAUAAAAGGGCACUUGACCAAGCCUUGUACUGUACGAGGCACUUUAUUGUGCCUCUGGUCGUACGUUUAUUUUGCUUUUGUCGUCAAGUUAUCACACUUGUCAACUUGUUAUGUAAGGGAUCUAAAUCUACUUUAUCAAAUUUCUUAUUUUGCAAGCACUUCAUAUCGACCAAACGGAUUAUUGGUUGUCACCAGUUGUAUUUAAUUAUGAGUCUAUCUCUCUUAUUAGGUGAUAAUGAUUCAAAGUUAAUUGAUCAAUUCUUGUUUCACAACCAUAUAGAAUCAACCAGUAAUAUCUUCUACAUGUACAUUUUUGUUCCUGUAAUAUGAUUCAUAUUUCAUUUUCGUCAAUACAAU
rnacentral:lncRNA from 1 species